rnacentral:lncRNA from 1 species
UGUGAUAAAAUGCUGUCGUUGAAUAUAUUAUAGCUCAGGUCCAGGUUCUCGAGUUUCCCCAAAUGUGAUGAUAUGAUCUCAAAACCUGCAAGGAGUUGUUUCUAAGAGUAAGUCAUAAUUAUGAGCUCACGAUAUGCAUAAUAUAUAGAAACUAAAGAUAAUUAGAAUUGAUGAGAUGUUGUUCAAUUGAUAUAUGAUUCUCAAAUUAUACAUAAAAAGAAUGAUAUAUGAACGCAUAUUUAAUUAUAUAAUAGAUUAAGAAAUAAUUUAUGGAUAAGAUCAAAGCUCCAUAGAUAUUAAUCUUCAUAGAUGAAAUUAAAGCGCAAUCAAACAUGAUGAAAUGCUAUCGUUGAUUUUUAAAUAUAUAUAAAGUCCUCAAUUUUCUUGAUAAACAGAAUGCAACUUACUAUUGAUAGAUCCUGUCAGCUGAUUGUUUGACAGAUCCAAAGACUUGAGAGAUGAAAACCCAGUUAGAGAUGGAAAAAUGCUAUCGUUGUAUUGAUUCCGUCUUAGAUGAAGGUUCUCAAGCUUUUUCAACCUUGAUGACAAGACUUUGAGACCUGCAUGAUGUUCCUCAAAAGCAUAGAAAUGAUACAUGAACGCAUAUUUAAUUAUAAAAUAGGUUGUGCACGCUUCUAAGAUUAAGAUACAAUUUUUAAAUAUCAUUCUAAUUUUGAUCAUUGGAAAAAAAAAAACAAUUUACGGUUAUAAAGUCGCUAAAGAUGGAAGCUAAGUUAUGAUAGACUUACAAAACAAAAUAAAGAAACUUAUAAUUAAGAUCUCAUCGGUAAUUAAAACAAGAAUAAUAAUCGAUCCAUGUAAGUUCAAAUAUUGCCUAAUUUUGAAAAACUAAUUAAUUAGUUAUGAUAGUUUCAAAAACUAACUGCCUCUGUAAGAUGCUAAAUGCCUCUCUCGUUGGCUGUCUAGUGAUUUGUAUUGGAUAGUUUUUUUUUGAAUUGAUGUUAAGAUCCAAGUUUUAAUAAUUACAAUUUUCUUAAUUAUAUAUAAUAUUAUAGGAGAGAGCUUCUUAUUAUGUUAUUCAAAACCCAUUCAAACUCAAAUUCAUAAAAAAAAAUACUUAGAGUUGUGUUCGACUAAGGAUCUCAAGACAGAAAAAACAUAUAUAAAAAUAUAUUUAUUUAAAAAGAUAAAUAUAAAAUAUAUAUUUAUAGGAGAGUUUUGAAGUGAACUUCUGAUUGCUAAUUUAAUCUAAAUAUUACAACACUUUUGGCAUAAAAGGGCCAAAAUAAGAAUAAAAUAUAUGCCUCUUUACGUAGAUAUAAAGUUCUCAUUUUUGUUGAUAAAGAAACAAUAUAAUUAAGAGAAUGUCAUGUGAAGCAUUUAGGUAGAAACUGUGUAUUAUACCUGAUCCUGUCAACUCAUUGUACGACAGAUCCAAAGACUUGAGGGAUGAAAAUCCAGUAAGAGAUGGAAAAAUGCUAUCGUUGCAAUGAUUCCAACUUAGAAGAAGGUUCUCCAGCUUUUUCAACCUUGAGGACAAGACUUUGAGACCUAAAUAGCAGCUACCUCCUGAUCAUUUAAAUGCGUAGAAAAAAAUGAUAUGAGAAGGAGAAAAGAAAAGGUUUCGAAGCUAAAUAAUUAAAAGGUUACCAUAGAAGCUACCUCCUGAUCCAGCUGUCAACCCAUUCUCUGAUAGAUCCAAAGACUUGAGAGUGGAAAGGUUACCAUUGAAACAUGACAAAAUGCUUUUAUCAUUAUUAAAUCCGUUAUAACUUAGGUCAAGUUUCCUCAGUUUUGAUGAUAGGACUUCGAAGCCUGGAAAGAGCAAGAUAAUUGACAUUAAACACCAACCAACCUUCAUUUAUUUUAUGAUUAUAUUUAAGUGCACAAACAUUGAACUAACCUUCAUUCUCCAAGCAACCAACCAAUCCAUUACCUUCCAAUUCAAGACUUUGCAAUUCUUUAAAAGGCUGAAACAAAGAUGCGUUGAGAACCCAAUCGCCCAAGCUCUCGUCCCUUGAUCCUCUAAGAGAGAGUUGGAUCACUCGCCUUGUAGUGUUAUCACACUCGAUCCUAUGCCACUCACAACAAUUACUACCGUCCACCCAAUCUCUCAAGGAAACGCCAUCUGGGUCGAUCGAAGAUUGGAUCUCCAAGAGACCAAUCCUCUCUUCCUCCAAACACCCAUAACAACGACCAUACCAUUCGCCAACCAAAGUCAAUAAUGCUAGCAACAUCCAACUCCCCAUUCUUUUCAUCAUCAUCUACGUAGAAUAUUGUUGUUUGUUAUGUGUCUUUGGGCAACCAUAGAGGUCCUAUUUAUACUACAAUUUUGGCCAUUUCCAUGAUUUUAUCUGCAUAUCUUAUGCAGGUUCUAUGUUUUGAGAUUUGAAUAUUAUUUUAUUUCCUUUUGGAAUAUUCUUGGAUUCGAAUAUUAUUUUAUUUUACUGUUUAGCACUUAGUCUAUUUGCAUUUAAUUAUAUUUUGGUUACUAAUUAUCCAAUUUUAAAAAAAUAAAAAAUAAAAAUUGUUGCAACAUUUCAAUUUUUUUAUCGACAUUCAUGUGUGAUUUCACGUAAGAUCUUUUUAAAUUUAUAAUUGUACUUUUCUCGUUAUAAUUUAGAAUUAUUUAGGAGCCUACUUGCAUGGUGUCAUCACUAUUAUAUAUAAUUAAAUACAUAAAUUAUCAAUAAUAAUAAAUUCGGAAUAAUUAUAAAUCUUAUCCCUGUGGAUUGUGUGGCUACAGUAUGAUAUACAAAAACUUCAAAUAUAUAUAAAUAAAAGAAUGCUAAAAGUGACAUUCUCUUGGGUGACCACCACAAGCCCAUCUAAAACACACAAGCCAUAUAAAAAUCACACGACAGCCAAUUACCUUAUCUUGUGAGAAAAAAGAUUAAAAAAAAAAAAAGCAUUUUCUUGGGUGUGCAAUGACUGCCAAUCUUUCUCGUUAUGACAUUCAAUGCUCUGUAAGAAGUUGCAUGAUGCUCUUCUCAUGGGGAGCAAAAAUCAGUAGCCUCCCAUGGAAUCCUCAUAAACCUUUCUCUAUGCUCUUCUAAGAUAUUAAAAAUGUCAAACAUACAUAAAUAAUAAGAAAAACAAUAAAAAAAGAAAGCUAUACAAAUAGAGCUUCCAACAAAAAGACUAGGAAGUUGUUUACUGAAAAUUGAGAUUCAUAAUUUGUUUUGAUUUGUUUUGAUUUGUUUUGAGUUAUUAUGGUCUCAUGACCCGGGUCACAGAUUUAAAGGUUAAUCUAGAUUGACCCGGGUCGAUUAAUCCAAUAUGUUGUUGUUUCGAUAUACUUUUUUUAAAAAAAUAUGUCAUCUUGAUUUUUUUCAAGUGAAACUAUAUUUUUACCAGUCGUCCAGACAAUCUUUGAGCCCAUCGAAUCGAUCGGGUUAUAUCAAUUUAACUCUUAUUUUUUUAUUUAUAUUUGAAAUUUAAAUUGCAUAAUUUUUUACUUAUUUUUUUAUAUAGGUGGUUAUGAGUUACAAAAAUUAAGCAAUUUCGAGUAUAUUGACAUGAGAAUUAAUGGUUUCGAUAACAAUAUUCUAUCAUUUGUAGAGGGAUUUUCAUCUUUUAAAUCACUAUAUUUAGAUUAUAAUAGACUGGAAGGGUUAAUAGAUUUAAAAUGUUAGUUUUUUUAUAUACUUAUUUUUUCUCUAUUAAAUUUAAUUUCAAAAGAACACAAUUUUCGAUAACAGUAUUCUAUCAUGCAAUUUUUGUUUUGUUUCAAAAGAACACAAUCGCCCAAGCGGAAAUCCCUUGCAUAGAAAAGAGAGAGUUGGAUCACUCGCCUUGUACGUAGUGUUAUCACACUCGAUCCUAGGCCACUCACAACAAUUACUACUGUCCACCCAAUCUCUCAAGAAAAAGCCAUCUGGGUCGAUCAAAGCUUUGAUCUCCAAGAGACCAAUCCUCUCUUCCUCCAAACACCCAUAACAACGACCAUGCCAUUCGCCAACCAAAGUCAAUAAUGCUAGCAACAUCCAACCCCCCAUUCUUUUCAUCAUCAUCUACGUAAAAUAUUGUUGUUUGUUAUGUGCUUUUGGGCAACCAUAGAGGUCCUAUUUAGACUACAAUUUUGGCCAUUUCCAUGAUUUUAUCUGCAUAUCUUAUGCAGGUUCUAUGUUUUGAGAUUUGAAUAUUAUUUUAUUUCUUUUUGGAAUAUUCUUGGAUUUGAAUAUUAUUAUUAUUUUAUUGUUUAGCACUUAGUCUAUUUGUAUUUAAUUAUAUUUUGGUUACUAAUUAUCCAAUUUAUAAAAAAAAAUAAAAAAUAAAAUAAUUGUUGCAGUACUUCAGCAUUGUUAUCGACAUUCGUGUGUGAUUCCGUAUAAGAUCUUUUUAAUUUAAUUGUACUUCUCUCGUCAUAAUUUAGAAUCAUUUAGAACCCUAUUUGUGUUAUGACUAUCAUAUAUAUAAUUAAAUACAUAAAUUAUCAAUAAUAGUAAACUCAGAAUAAUUAUAAAUCUUAUCCCAGUGGAUUGUGUGGCUACAGUAUUUUAUACUUCAAAAUAUAUAUAUAUAUAUAAAAGUUAGAGCUGCUUUUGUUUUUAUGUUCGGAAAGGUAUUCUUGACUUGUUUUUAUUACAUUUCAAUAUUAUUAUUUUUUUUCAAUCGAGUCAAAGAUAUACCAUUUAUAUUAGAAUGAGAAGACUAAUCAAUUUCUCUAGUUUUCUCCCUAUUUAUAAAAUACAUCUGGUUUUUGAAGUCCAGAUUUUAGGAUAAAAGGAAUUUAUUUCUUGAAAUUAAUGCAUUAAACAAUAUAAAGAUAUUUUUUAAAAAUUAAAAUAGUAGUAAAAGUAAAUUUAGUUUUUGAUUGAAGUGUAAACUAGUGGUAAAUGAACAAAAAAAAAAAACUUUCUUGAUUAUCUAAUGGAAACUCCGCCUAAUAUAUAUAUAAUAGCAAUCAUUUUCUUAUCUCUUGUAUCAUUCAUAUCUUCCACAAAUCUUAAGUAAUUGAUGAGAAAGUGGAUAUUGCCAAGAAAGGUCGUGAACGCGGAUGCUUGACUUGCUGCGUGGCAUUUUGAUUUUUAAACACAACACUACUUUCUUUGUGGAAAUAACGCUACUUUGCAUGAAGAUGAUGGAUAUAGAAGACUUGCUACUUGUUUUAUGGAAAUAACGUAUGGAAAAUUAUGCUUUAAUUUUAAUGAUGAUAGCAAAAUCAAACAGUAUUGUUGAUAAAAUGAGCCAUAAAUAAUAUUAUUUCUAUUGUCAUGACAAUAAGUUUUUUUUUUUUUUUUUCUAAAGAGUCUAUUUUUCCUCUAGGAGAGGCCGCGAGACGUCCUCUUCCAACCAUCAUGCAUUUUUUCUACGAGAUGGGUUCAUGGAAAUACUUUGGUUUAAUUGGGAAUGCUGUUAUUGAUUGAAAUAUUUUUAAUUAAAAUAAAUUUGAUUAUUUGAUUGGAAAAAAAAUAUUGUAACCAAGUAAUUUAUUUAUUUAUUUUAAUGAAAUAUAAAAUAGUUUUAAAUCUUGUGGUAUAUUUCUUGUCUUUAAGAGCUAUGAACUUAUAUCUCAAAACUUGAAAACUAAUAUAAAGAUAUUAAGUGAUCAUUGAGUGUGUGUGUGUGUAUAAUCCUUUUCAAAACAAAAAGGAUUUUGAUGGAGAUUAGGACAUUGCAACAAAUUAUCCACCACUAGAUGGGUCAAUGAUACCAUUGUCAUCAUGCAAUUUUUCCCACGAGAUGGGGCCGUACGCUUGGGGCUCUAAAAGCUAUGGUUUUAAUUUCAUUAUGUCACAUCUAGAAUGGCAGGUAUAUUUUAUUUCAAUUUAAACAAUGGAAUAAAUUAGAAGAUAUUUCAUCUCGCUUAAAAUCUUAUCUUCUUAUAUGAUUUCACCUAAAUUCUGGCUGGAAUGUUUAAGUUAUAUUCUAGCUAUUCUGUUAUGGCCAAAUGAUAUUUUGUUUUACUUUUAUAAAAAAUUAAAAUAUAGUUUAGUUUUUGUAUUUAUUUUCUGGUUAUAUUUAAUUUGUCAUCAAUAUUCAUAACGUAAAUUGCUAUGCAUUUCGAAUCUUGAAAGGAUUGAAAGAUGGAAAACAGAAAAGAAAGAGAGACCCCCAGUUCAAAAGAAAAAGAAAAAAAAACAAUAGUAAAAGAAAGAGAAGAGAACAAAAGUGAAGCAGUUUUUACUAACUAUAUAAAUUUUAUAAUUAUUAAUAUUAAAUUCAAAAUAUGUACAUAAUGCAAAUAUGUAAACAUAUCAUGUGGUUUAAAGAAAUGAUUUUUAUAAAGAUAUAUGUCUUAACAAUAUUAAUCAACUCUUAAUAUUUUUCAUUUUAUAAAUAUUAAAAGUAAAUAUUAAAACCUAUUAUAUUAAUUUGUGAAGGUAUUUACUCGGAUGCGAAUUAUAUUUCUAAUUUUUUAUUAAAAAAAAAUUCUACAUACUACAACUAGCCUAAGAAAGUCAUUUUCAUCUAAAAAAAAGUAGAAAAAAUUGAAUUGCAUAAAAGCAUCACUAUAAAUGUUAUACUCCGAAAAUAUCUUCUUUCCUUGAUAAAAUUCCCUAAACUACUGUAUGUCUCUAACAGUGAAAAUAUCACUAUAAUUUACAGUCACCUUAUUUAAUCGAAAGAAAACUUUAAAGAUGCACCUCCAUCUAGUGUAUUUAAAAAGAUUUAACAAAUUACUUUACACGUGCUAUGCUACAAGUUACAUAUUUUUUCAAUGUAAACAAAAAUUAUAUAGGUAUUUUUAACAUUUUUCUAUUAAAAAAAACUAAAACAUAUAAAAAUUAACCAAUUUAUAAUUAAUUAAUUAAUUGAGAAUUUGAGCUCCUUAGAAAAGUUGUUUAUGGACUUUUGUUUUCCGGAGAAAGCUCCUUUAAAACCCUUGAGCACCACCUUCUUUAAAACUUCUAUCUUUGCCAUAACUGAGGGGCUCUGUAUUUUUUUUAAGGUGAAUUAACAAGUUACAACUCAACUCUGUAUUUUUUUUUUUAGUUUAAUGUGGGUGUCUGGGUCAACUUACGCGUACCUCGACUAAUUCCACGGGCCCUGAAAUUAAUGACCAUAUAAACCUACAGUGGCCAUCAUAUGAACAAUCACAGGACUAGGGCUCGAACUUGAGACAAAAAAAAAAAGCAAAUUUUUUAAUCUUAAAUUCUUACCACUGGAUCACUAUCUAAAUUGUUACCUUGUAUCUAAUCUAGAUGUGUCUGUGACUGUGCUUGAUGUUCUCAUAACCAUUAAGAUGGUUCGAACCCAAAUAAAUAGAAACAAAUUUAUUUUCUGUUAUUCUCCGAAUUCCUAGAUAGAAUUUGCUUGGAAAUGAUGAGCUACCACUCCCUUUUGACUUUGCUGGCCUCCCAAAUAAAUAAAGAAUUCCGCUUGAUAGAAUUUUCUUGGAAAUGAUGAGAAUAUUUUAUAAUUUUCUGGUUGACGCCAGCUGUCAACAACUGUCUUACAUUCCCUUGGCAUCGUGUUCCAUGCCCUUGCAAAAUAUUAAAGGCUCCAAUGCCUCUCUCGCAAUAAGAUUAUUUUUUUUAUUUGUCCCCGAAUACAUGUGUCAUUUAUCGAAAUAAUUAAUUUAAUCACACACAUAAAAAAAAAAAAAAAUUUAAAUAGGCGGCUUUAGAAUCAGCAAGCAGUGAAUCACACGGGAAGAUUGAAAGAAUAAUUAAAGUGAUUUUACUAACAUUGUAAAAAAAAUUGAAUUGCAUAAGAGUAAUUAACCGACAGGUUGACCCAAAGUCAAAGUCUUCUGUGGAAAAACAUGAAUAGAAGAUUGAUGGGCGUUGCGUGAUAGCAAAAGAUUUGAGAUCUGCACAGCAGGUUUUGAAUUCGAGUCAGGGCGUGCAUCUCUUGUAAAAGCUUGGGAUAGCCGGGAUUUUACUGUCUCAUCUGGGCCCAUAAAGUGCGCUUUCCAAGGAAAUGAGGUUCCCUCGAAUCCAUAAAAAAAAAAAAAGUAAUACCAUUGCUAUCAAGCGUUUUUUCUACGAGAUGGUCCGUUCCCCCAUUUCCCCUCAAGCUUGAGAAGGGAUGAUAUAUAUAUGCUUUAAUUUCAACUUGUAUAAAAAAUAAAUCUUAAUGUAGUGUGUUAGAAUGCAACCACCGAUUCAUUAUUUUUAAUGGCUGGUCAUUUAAACUUGGGUGUUUUUUCGGUAUUAAUAUAUAUAUUCCUCAAUUAUCAUAAAAAAAUUAAGAAAAAACUAAUAAUAAGAUUAAAAAUAAAUGUUUUAUUUAUCGAAAUAAUUAUUAAAAGUAAGGUAUACUCAAGGUAUAUGUGGGACGAUAAAAAAAUAACAAAAAAAUCAAUUUACAAAAAAAAUCAUAGAUUUAGUUUUCCUAAAUUUUAAAUGUAGUGCAACAUUAGCCUUUCAAGAAAUAGAUAAUCUUCCUCUUUGAAGGAAUUAAUUAGUGGGUUGGAAAAAUGUCGUCUUUUGCUCUAAUAUUUUCUUCGCUUUCUCUAUAGUUUUACCAUACACUAAUAUUGUCAGAAAAUGAUACAUACUUCUUGUGUUAUCCUUCAAGAAUUCAAUUGAAAAGGAGGGUUGUAAAAAAUUUAAUUUUUAUAAACAUACCCUUAACUUAAUUUGGAUGUGGAUAAUUGUUUGCAAUAUAUUUACAUCCAAUAUAAACAAUUCAUCAAUGAUCAAGUAGGCAGUGGUUAGCUAAAAUAUUGAAAAUACUUACUCUCUUUGUUUUUUAGUCAUGCAGUUCCACUAUUGUAUGUUAUUUUUGUUUAGCUAAAAAUAUCAAAAAAUAUUAAUUUGGAGUAAAAAAAAAAAAAAAAUUUAAUUUUUUUAAAAAUAUUUUUGAAACAUAAAAACAAACAGUGCUAAAAGACAUAGAAACAGUUACCCAAAUCAAUUUAUUUUUUUAAAAAAUAAAAAUAGAAUACUAUACAAAUGGAGCUUCCAACAAAAAGAUAUGGGAAGUUCGAGGGAAAAAAUGAUUAGUUAAUUCAAAACACCAGGAGUAAGUAAUAAUUACAAAACACGAUACCGAAACCAAAUUGAAAAGUGAGCAAAAUACAAAACUGGUUACAUGUAUCGAAAGGAACUGGAACCAAUUUCUCCACCACUGGAUGUCCCUUUUGUUCAGUCUAUGUUUGGUGCAAUCACCUAAAGCUAGAAACAAAAACAGCGCCUUAGUCUAUGUUUGGUGCAUUUUUUCCACGAGAUGGGUUCGUGGAAAAACUUUGGUUUAAUUGGGAAUGCUGUUAUUGGUUAGAAACUUUUUAAUUAAAAUAAAUUUGAUUAUUUGAUUGGAAAAAUCCUUAAAUGUUAUUAACACAUGAAAUCAAUUUAUUCUCUUAAGAAAAAAAUAGUUUUACAUCUUGUGGUAUAUAUGUCAAGCAUUUUUUUUCCCUCAAGAUGGGUUCGACAGACAAUCACCAUCAUGCAUUUAUGAGUCCAUGAGACCAUUGUCAUCUGCACAUUGGUCCCCUAUAGCGUUGCUUUUCCUCAAGACCAUUUCCAUCAUGCAUUUAUGAGUUAGUGAGACCAUUUCCAACUGCACAUUGGUCCCUGAAACCGUUGCCAUCAUGCAUUUUUCCUCGAUGAGAGGUCGUGAGACGUCCACUUCCAACCAUCAUGCAUUUUUUUCACGAGAUGAGGCCGUACGUUUGGGGCUCUAAAAGCUAUAUAUAUUAGAAAUAUUAUUUGAAAAUAAAUUAUUUUUUAUUUUUAAAAAUAAAAUUCUUCUAUACAAAAGAUUUUUAUAAGUAUAAUUUAAUUUAUUCAGUUUUUUAAAUAAAGUUAAUCUAUCGCAAGAGUACACGAAAUAAGUAUUUUUCCGUCAUGCAUUUUUUUUCCUCAAGACCAUUUCCAUCAUGCAUUUAUGAGUCUGGGAGACCAUUUCCAUCAUGCAUUUAUGAGUUGCUGAGACCAUUUCCAUCUGCACAUUAGUCUCUGAGACCGUUGCCAUCAUGCAUUUUUCCUCGAGGAGAGGCCGUGAGACUUCCUCUUCCAACCAUCAUGCAUUUUUUCCACGAGAUGGGUUCGUGGAAAAACUUUGGUUUAAUUAGGAAUGCUGUUAUUGAUUGGAAACUUUUUAAUUAAAAUAAAUUUGAUUAUUUGAUUGGAAAAAUCCUUAAAUGUUAUUAACACAUGAAAUCAACUUAUUCUCUUAAGAAAAAAACAGUUUUAAAUCUUGUUGCCGUCAUGCAUUUUUUUUUCCUCAAGAUGGGUUCGACAGACAAUCACCAUCAUGCAUUUAUAAGUCCAUGAGACCAUUGUCAUCUGCACUUUGGUCCCCUAUAGCGUUGCUUUUCCUCAAGACCAUUUCCAUCAUGCAUUUAUGAGUCCAGGAGACCAUUUCCAACUGCACAUUGGUCCCUGAGACCGUUGCCAUCAUGCAUUUUUUCCACGAGAUGGGUUCGUGGAAAUAAUUUGGUUUAAUUGGGAAUGCUUUACUGUAUUUGUUUUCUGGUUAUAUUUAAUUUUUCAUCAAUAUUCCUAAGCACGUAUUUUGAAUCAUGAAAAGCACGUGGAAAAGAGAGGGAUGGUGAAAAUGACAUGUAAAGGGACUGUUUGGCAGUGCGCAUAGAAAAGGGAAAGUGUCAUUGCCAUUUUGAGUGGUGUGUUUGCAUUUGAUUUGUUAAUUUCGAGUUUUGUCAAAGAGUGAUUACUAGUCAUCAAGCAUUUUAUUAAUUUAAUUUAUCCUGUCAAGUGAAGGGCCAAACCUGUCAUUCAUUGCCAGUCACAGUCACAAGUCUUGGUCUUACCAUUUUACUAUCUAUUAAUUAAUUAAUUGUUUGAUUAAUCAACGAAACUGUGCGUUUCUCUUGUGAUUUCUCGAAGACGGCCAUGAAUAUAUAUAUAUAUAUAUACAACUUUUCAAAACAAAAAGGAUUUUGAUGGAGAGGACAUUGAAACAAAUUAUCCUCGUGAUACCAUUGUCAUCAUUCAAUUUUUUCCACGAGAUCAGGCCGUAUGCUUGGGGCUCUAAAAGAUAUUAUUUCUAAUUUUAUUAUAUCACAUCUAGAAUAACAAGUAUAUUUUAUUUCAAUUUAAAAAAUAGAAUAAAUUAAAAGAUAUUUCAUUUUUAAAAUUUUAUUUUGUUUUAUGAAUUUCACCUAAAUUCUGACUAGAAUAUUUUGAUUAUAUUCCAGCCAUUUUAUUAUGAUAAAAUAAUAUUUUGUUUUGCUUUUAUAAAAAAAAUAUAAUCUAAUUUUACAGUAUCAAUCAUAUCUUUCAAUUCGACUGCUGGAUUGGACUAAAAUUUUACGAGGAAUCUCCUAACAUAUAUUUAUAUCGCAAAUUAAAAUUUUAAGGCAAUCAGAGUUUAGAAAAAUUUUGCGAAAUUACCGAUGAUAUUUUCAUAAUUUUAUUUAAAUUCAUAAUUUUGUUAGGAAAUAUUAUUUUUUGUUUCUUUUUUAGAUUGAAUUAUUUCUAAAGUACUUCUUGUCAUUGUCAUGACAAUAAAUCUUCUUCUUUUUCUUUUUAAAAAGUCUAUUUUUUGUAACACAACCAACAUGUAAGAUGGAUGGGAAUUUGCAGUGUGAGAUGGGUUUGUGAGACUUUGGCCAUCUCCAAUUUUUUCCACGCCAUUGAGAUGGUCUAUAAGACCAUUGCCCCGUAAGCAUUUAUGAGUUCGUGAGACCAUUUCCAUUUGCACAUUGGUCCCUGAGACCGUUGCCAUCAUGCAUUUUUUACACGAGAUGGGUUCGUGGAAAUACUUUGGUUCAAUUGGGAAUGUUGUUAUUGAUUGGAAACUUUUUAAUUAAAAUAAAUUUGAUUAUUUGAUUGGAAGAAAUCCUUAAAUGUUAUUAACAAUAGAAAUCAAUUUAUUUUCUUAAGAAAAAAAUAUUGUAACCAUAUAAGUAAUUUAUUUAUUUAUUUUAAUGAAAAAUAAAAUAGUUUUAAAUCUUGUGGUAUAUUUCUUGUCUUUAAGAGCUAUGAACUUAUAUCUCAAAACUUGAAAACUAAUAUAAAGAUAUUAAGUGAUCAUUAAGCGUGUGUGUGUGUAUAAUGCUUUUCAAAACAAGAAGGAUUUUGAUGGAGAGGACAUUGCAACAAAUUAUCCACCACGAGAUGGGGCUGUACGCUUGGGGCUCUAAAAAACUAUGGUUUUUAAUUUUAUUAUGUCACAUCUAGAAUGGCAGGUAUAUUUUAUUUCAAUUUAAACAAUGAAAUAAAUUAGAAGAUAUUUCAUCUCGUUUAGAAUGUUAUCUCAUUUCAUGAAUUUCACCUAAAUUCUGGCCGGAAUAUUUUGGUUCUAUUCCAGCCAUUCUAUUAUGAUCAAAUAAUGUUUUGUUUUGCUUUUAUAAAAAAAAAAUAUAUAGUUUAGUUUUAUGGUAUUAAUUAUAUCUCUCAAUGCAAUUAUUGGAUUAGACUAAAAUUUUACAAGGAAUCUCUUAACAUAUAUUUAUAUCGCAAGUUAAAAUUUUAGAACAAUUAGAGUUUAAAAAGACUUUGUGAGAUUGCCGAUGACAUUUUUAUAAUUUUAUUUAAAUUCAUAAUUUUGUUUCAUAAGGUCAUUUUUUGUGUCUUUUUUUAGAUUGAUUUUUUUUUUUCAAUUUCAUAAUUCAACAAUAGAUUUAUUAAAAAUUAAGAUUCAUAAUUUGUUUUUAUUUGGGAUUAUUAUGGUCUCAUAAUCUGGGUUACGGAUUUAAAAGAUUAACCUAGAUUAACCUGGUUCGAUCUAAUAUGUUGUUGUUUCAAUAUUUUUAACAAAUAUAAUUUUAAUUGAUAUUUAAAAAUAAACUAACUUGAAAUUAUAUAAUUUAAAUUUCAAAUAUAAGUAAAAAUAAAGAGUUAAAUCAAUAUGACCCAAUUGAUUUGAUGAGUCCAAAAUAUAUAUAAAACAAUCCAAACGACACGUCAAAAUACUCAAAAAUCAAAAUAUAUUGUUACAAUUAAAAAAAUAAAACACCAAUUAAAAUGGAAUUGACGACCUUGCUUGAUAUAAGCCUAAACUCCUCGCUGCCAUUUGCAAGAGAUAGUUACUUAUACCAGUAGCAAUUUAAUAAUGAUUGGUCAAAUUUUAUAUUAAGAUGGGGCUAUUAAUUCAAAUGUUGAUGGCGUUAGUAGCAAUGAUUUUCUUGGAAGCAUGGUUGCCUCUUGGCUGCUUGAAAAUAUAUGGUUUUUUUAAUGUCGCAUGUGUGCUGCGUCAUGAAAAAAAAAUUCACUCUCAAAUCCUAAAUAUUGGUAUCCUGGAAAAAUUGGGAAAAAUAAGGAGACAAGAAAUUCUUGUCUUUUAUUAGUGGAAAAAUAAAAUGGGAGUCGCCACUUAGUAUUUUAAUCACUAGGAACCCUGAUUGGUCUCAGAGAUUGGGUACGGAGACUGGUUGCGUAAAGGGAAGGUAUUAGCACCCCAAAUACGCCCUACCUAAGGUAAGUUGCAUUGUUUUAUUGUUUGAUAAAAUCUAAGGUCUUGUCGUGUUUUCUAGUUAUUGGUCCGUCUAUGAUUUAAGAAAAGUCUUCAUCGAUAAAGAGAUCCUUAUCUUUUCGGGUAAAACCUAACCGUUCUAACGUAAACAAAAGAAUUUAAUAUCCGGAAUACAUCUUACGUAUAAGGUCGUAACCCCAGAUACUAAAAGAAAAUUUUUUUUUUGGAAUUUUUUAAAUAUUGGCCUAGUUCUUGUGACUUUAAUAAACUGGUUUUUAAAACCAAAAUGCAUGUUAAUACAUAUUUUUGUUGUAUGAAAAUAUGAUAUGAUUUUUUUCUUUGAGAUACUUGGCCGUAUGCAUGAAAAUAAUUUUUUUUUUAAUUUUUCAAUGUUUUGACGAAAACUAGGUAUUUUAAUACCAGAUUUGUAUCUUUACAGUAUAAAAAUACAAACCAAUACUAAGAAAAAUUUAGUAGAAAAAUAUAUGGGAAAAUUAUAGAUUUUUUGAAAUGAUUAUUUUUGAAGAAUUGUUUUUUACUGGGCCGGACCCGACCCAACCAUUUUGGGCGGGCCGGCACUGUCCGGGCUGGAAAACUAAAACAAACAAUGGAGAGACUCUCCACUGUUCACAUGCAACGUGAACAGUGGAGCGGCCUGGAGAAGACAAAGAAGAAGAGGAGGAAGAGGAAGAAGCAGACCUGCGGCCUAGCGGUGCUGCUAGUGGCGGUGGACGGUGUUGCGGUUGCGGAGUGUUAGAAAUAAUGUUCAGGACUGCUGAGCUGGAAUUUUAUUCUUUCUUAAUUUUUGAUUUAGUCAAUUCUGUUCCUAUUCUCUUGUUCUUGUUGCUACUUCGCAGCUCUGUUAUUUCCAUUAUCAAUUGAUCAUGGCUUGAAUGUAGUACCAUGAUCGUAGGAGUUUGUUAUGUAUCAGCUCUAUAAAUUGAGCUGCAGUUAUGAAUAAAGUAUUCAAGCUUUUCAUUCAUCAAUCUCUUCUUAAACACAAGCAUUAUCCUUUGUUAUUUUUGUUGUUCAGAAUCACUGCAACAACGACAAUUGGUAUCAGAGCAUCUUGAUUUAAAGGGAUCUGUGUUGUAACCCAUGGAGACAGAAGUAAGAUUCUCAUCAAUUGCUCCACCAGUGUUCAAUGGUGACAAUUACCAGUUUUGGGCAGUACGGAUGGAGACAUACUUAGAGGCUCUGGAUUUGUGGGAGGCAGUGAAAGAAGAUUAUGAAAUCCCUGCACUUCCAAAUAAUCCCACCAUGGCGCAGGUCAAAUCACAGAAGGAGAAGAAGACAAAAAAAUCAAAGGCAAAGGCGUGCUUGUUUGCUGCAGUAGCAUCCACCAUUUUCACUCGAAUCAUGUCUCUGAAAACAGCAAAGGAGAUAUGGGAGUUUAUCAAGACUGAGUAUGAAGGGGAUGAAAGAAUUCAAGGUAUGCAAGUGUUGAACUUGAUGCGUGAUUUCGAGUUGCAGAAGAUGAAGAAAACUGAAUCCAUCAAAGAGUACUCUGACAGGCUGCUUAAUAUUGCAAGCCGAAUCAGUUUACUUGGCUCGUCCCUGCCUGAGUCAAGAAUUGUUCAAAAAAUUCUUGUAACAAUUCCUGAAAUCUUUGAGGCUACAAUUACAUCCUUGGAAAAUACCAAGGAUAUGUCAAAAAUUACUUUGACAGAAAUGCUAAAUGCAUUACAAGCUCAGGAGCAAAGGAGGAUCAUGAGACAAGAAGAUGAGAUUGAAGGAGCUCUAUUCGUCAAGCAUAGAGAAAAAGGAAAGAAUUACAAGAAGAAUGGAAGCAGUCAAGCAUCAUCAGGUGAUUCCAGGAAUUUCAACAGGAGCAACACUGGAAACAAAAAAGGACCUUUUCCUCCAUGCCAGCAUUGUAAAAGGAGAUCACAUCCACAUUUUAAGUGUUGGAGAAGACCAGAAGCUAAGUGCAACAAAUGCAAUCAAAUGGGCCACGAGGCUGUCAUCUGCAAAAACAAAAUUCAACAGCAUGGUGAAGAAGCUCAAAUUGCUGAUCAAGAAGAAGAAGAUCAAUUGUUUGUGGCCACUUGCAUUUCCAGAAAUGACUCAAGUGAAAGCUGGCUCAUUGAUAGUGGUUGCACCAACCACAUGACACAUGACAGAAACAUAUUCAAGGAGCUGAAACAAACAACUUCAAAGGUUCGAAUUGGAAAUGGAGAAUACCUUGCUGUUGAAGGAAAGGGAACCGUGGCAAUCUUGACUUGCUCAGGUACUAAGUUCAUCUCUGAUGUAUUGUAUGUCCCUGGUAUAAAUCAAAAUUUAUUCAGUGUUGGUCAGCUUAUUGAGAAGGGUUAUAAAGUAGUGUUUGAAAACAAUUGCUGCUUGAUCAAAGAUGUGAAUGGUCAUGAUAUUUUCAAAAUAAUCAUGAAAGGGAAGAGUUUUGCUUUAAAUCCAUUAGAGGAGGAGCAUAUUGCUUUCCCAAUUAAAGAAAAUAUCACAGAUAUUUGGCACAAGAGGCUCGGGCACUAUCAUCAUAGAGGGCUGAUGCUUAUGAAAUCCAAGAUGAUGGCUAAGGAUUUCCCAGCACUUGAUGAUCACAUAUCCAGCUGCAGAACUUGUCACACUGGCAAGCUAAACAGGAAGCCCUUUCCAGAAGCCACAUGGAGAGCAACAAGGAAGCUGCAAUUGAUUCAUACUGACAUUGCAGGACCAUAAAGGACACCCUCUCUAAAUGGGAGUCUGUAUUAUGCUGUCUUCAUUGACGAUUACAGCCGAAUGUGCUGGAUUUUCUUCUUGAAGCACAAGUCAGAGGUAGCACAGGUGUUCUGGAAUUUCAAGGCCAAAGUUGAAAAUGAAAGUGGCUGCAAAAUUCAAGCCCUCAGAUCAGACAAUGGCAAGGAAUACACUUCCAAUGCCUUCAACAUUUUUUGUGAGGAGGCAGGCAUUCAUCAUCAGCUAACAACUCCGUAUACUCCUCAACAAAACGGAGUUAGUGAGAGGCGAAACAAGUUCAUAUUGGAAAUGACAAGAUGCUUGCUACAUGAGAAGAAUUUACCAAAGAAAUUCUGGGCAGAGGCUGCAAACACUGCUGUGUUCUUGCAAAACCGACUGCAUACAAGAGCCUUGAAGGAUCAAACACCCUUUGAGGCAUGGUAUGGUUACAAACCAUCUCUGAAUUUUCUUAAGGUAUUUGGAUGUUUGUGCUUCACCCUUGUUCCACAGGUCAAGAGGGAUAAACUUGACAAGAAAGCACUUCCAGGCAUUUUUGUUGGCUACAGCUUAGUUUCAAAGGCUUAUAAGAUUUUCCAACCACAAACUGGAAAAAUCAUUAUAAGCAGAGAUGUCCAAUUCCUGGAAGAUGAAGAAUGGGACUGGAACGAUGCAAUCAAAGAAGAUUCAACCUCUCCAAAAGGCAAUUAUCUUGUUUCAGACACAGAUGAUCAAAGCAUGGAAGAUUGGGACAUCAACAUGACAGAUGACACUCCUGUUACAGGCACACGGUCACUCCUUGAUGUGUAUCAAAGGCGCAACAUUGCUGUGUGUGAACCAGCAGACUUUGAAGAAGCCAAGCUAGAUCAAAAUUGGCUUGCUGCGAUGAAGGAGAAGCUUCUCAUGAUCAAGAGAAACAACACGUGGGAGUUGGUUGACAGACCUCAAAACAGAAAUGUAAUCGGUGUAAAAUGGGUGUAUCGAACAAAACUCAACGCUGAUGGCUCAAUCAAUAAGCUCAAAGCCAGGCUAGUGGUGAAGGGUUAUGCACAAAUCUUUGGCGUGGACUACUCAGACACGUUUGCACCGGUAGCAAGACUUGACACUAUCAGGCUGCUACUUGCCAUUGCAGCACAACUGAAUUGGAAGGUGUAUCAAAUGGACGUCAAGUCAGCAUUUUUAAAUGGUGUUUUGCAGGAGGAGAUCUAUACUGAGCAACCAGAAGGCUUUGCAAAUGAAGGAGAGGAGGACAAAGUCUGUCUUCUUAAGAAGGCACUAUAUGGAUUGAAGCAAGCUCCAAGAGCUUGGUACAGCCGAAUCGAUGAACAUUUGCAGCACUUGGGAUUCACUAAAAGCCUCUCUGAAUCGACUCUUUACAUCAAGCAAAAUGGUGAUAACAUCCUUAUCAUCUCACUUUACGUUGAUGAUUUGCUUGUAACAGGAAAUAACAACAAUAAUGUGGAGAUAUUCAAGCAAGAGAUGAUGAGUGUAUUUGAGAUGACAAAUUUGGGUUUGAUGUCCUUUUUUCUUGGAAUGGAAGUUAAGCAAGUUGAACAUGAAGUGUUCAUAUGUCAGAAGAAGUAUGCCAAAGAAAUCCUCAAAAAGUUCAAACUUGAAGAUUGCAAAGCAGUAAGCACUCCUAUGAAUCAAAAGGAGAAGCUAUGUAAAGAAGAUGGAGCCGAGAAGGUUGAUCAAGCACAAUUCAGAAAAAUUGUUGGAUGCUUGAUGUAUCUCACUGCAACUAGGCCUGAUAUUUUGAAUGCUGUGAGUAUCUUGUCUAGAUUCAUGCAUUGUGCUAGUGAAUUGCAUUUCAAGGCUGCUAAAAGAGUGAUAAGAUAUGUCAAAGGAACCUGCAAUUUUGGCAUAAGAUACACAAGAAGUAGAGAGUUCAAACUGGUCGGGUACUCUGACAGUGAUUGGGGAGGCUCAAUUGAUGACUUGAAGAGCACAUCAGGCUACUGUUUCUCUUUAGGUUCUGGUGUGUUUUCAUGGAAUUCAAAAAAGCAAGAAACCGUAGCCCAAUCCACUGCUGAAGCUGAGUUUGUGGCUGCAACAGCUGCUGUCAAUCAAGCUUUGUGGCUGAGGAAAAUUUUAUCUGAUCUUAACCUGGAGCAAAAGGAAAGCACAGAAAUUCUAGUUGACAAUCAAGCUGCCAUUUCCAUCUCUAAUAAUCCUGUGUUUCACGGGAAAACCAAGCACUUCAACAUCAAAUUAUUCUUUUUGAGAGAGGUGCAGAAAGAUGGGAGUAUCAUUCUUAUUUACUGCAAAACUGAAGAACAAGCAGCUGAUAUUUUCACCAAACCACUGCCAGUCAACAAAUUCGAAUUUCUGAGAACAAAGUUGGGAGUUUGCAGCUCCUAAACAAGGAGGAGUGUUAGAAAUAAUGUUCAGGACUGCUGAGCUGGAAUUUUAUUCUUUCUUAAUUUUUGAUUUAGUCAAUUUUGUUCCUAUUCUCUUGUUCUUGCUGCUACUUCGCAGCUCUGUUAUUUCCAUUAUCAAUUGAUCAUGGCUUGAAUGUAGGACCAUGAUCGUAGGAGUUUGUUAUGUAUCAGCUCUAUAAAUUGAGCUACAGUUAUGAAUAAAGUAUUCAAGCUUUUCAUUCAUCAAUCUCUUCUUAAACACAAGCAUUAUCCUUUGUUAUUUUUGUUGUUCAGAAUCACUGCAACAACGACACGGACCGUGGCGCUGACUGGCGGGUGGUUCUUCUUUCUUUCUCUGCGUUUCCCUUCUGCUUUUUUUCUAUUCUGCUCUGUUCUUCCUCUUGUUCCCUGUUUUAUUCUUUCUCUCCCUCUCUGGUCCUCUCAAACGUCCCUUGGAGCUGCUGCCUGAAGAUGAAGACGAAGUUGAGGGUGAUCAGUGCUCUGAUCGGGCGACGUUUCUUUCUUUCUUCUGCUACUGUUUUCGUUUCUGAUUCUCCUCGUUCAAUUCUUAUUUGCACUCUUCUUCUUCUUCGUCUCUGGUUUUUGAAAUGACGAAGACGAUGGCAACGCUGGUUCUAAUCUCAACGAUUUCCUCUUCUUACAUUCUUUCCUUUUGCUCGUUUCUGUCUCCCUCUCGUGCUGCUCCCCACUUUCUCUCUUGUCCUGCUCGCUCUCCCUCCCUGUCUCCUCUUCUUUUUUUUUUGUUGUCCGUCUCUCCUCUAGCUUUUUAUAGCCAGAGGAUGCAUGCUUUUCGGGAUUUAUUGCAGGAAGGUUGUAACGGCCGGCGUGCAUCAUGGUGGAGAGGGAUAUCAGCCGUGAGACGUGCUCCCCUGAUUGAAGCAGCUCCACCACUAACGUCUUCACUUCCUUUUACUGUAGAAACCGUUGUUGAUGAAGAAGGUAAUGAACAGUUGUCAAGGAAAUGGUACCGUUUUAAAAUUCAAAAUGAAUAUUUCCGAUUUGGUCAUUGGAUUUUUUGCAAUUUUGUAAUCAAGCCCCCGAAUAAAUUGUAAUUGGAUCUCUGGAUUUUAGCCCCAUUUACAAGACAAUCUUUGGUUCUGGAUUCAUGCGAUUUGACUCUCAAUUGAUCAAUAAACUUCUAAUUUCUUUAAUUUAGCCCCUGACUUGGUCAAUUGCAGCCCUUAUAUUUACACGCCUUUUCCGGUUUGAUCCUUGGUUUCGGAUUUUUUCAAUCAAGUCCCUAAUUGCCCAUAAAACUUUAAUAAUUAUGCAAUUAAGCCCCUGAUUUGACCAAAUCAACUCUUCAAAAUUAUAAUUGGACCUUAGAACUUUAAUUUCUUCGAAUAAAAGCCUAAAUAGACAUAAAACUCAAUUUUUCUUUCAAUCAAACCCUCCAUAAAUUCAAUUAAACCUUUAAUAAAAUUUAAUUGAGUCCAUAAACAUCUGAUUUUAGAUAUAUUUUUUUAAAAUUGAAUUUUCUUUGUCAACAGGGCUCUCAUUAGUCAACGAUAUACUGUCAAAUUUCAAUCUUUAUAUUUUUUAACCUCCUCAACCAAUUUUUGGCCAUUUUGAGCAGUCCGACAGCUUUCACUGUGACAUAUAUAUUUUUUUAUUUAUAUUAUUUAAUUAAUUUAUUAUUAUUUAUUUAUUUAAUUUUUUUCAACUCUUACUUUUUGUAUUUUCUUCUUUUUUGUGUGGGGUCCCAAAAAUGGAUAACAACACUUAAGUUCAAAUCUAUUAAUAAAAAUAUAGUUUUAUUGACUUUUUUAUAUACUUUUAUUAGAGAAAUCAAUGUAAACAAAUUUAUGGACAAACAUUAGUUUAUCAAGUACUUAAAUAGAAAAAUAAAAUCAAUUAGAGUACUUGAAUAAAAAAAAUAUAAAUUAUAAGCAUUUUAUAUAUCUUUAUUGUUCAUAAAUUAAAAAUAAAAUAAAAUCAAUCCAGACUAAUCUAAAAAGAGUUAACUAUGACAUCAUCAUUUUGAUAGUAAAACUAAUGAAGAUAUUUUAUUGAUUAAAUUCCGUGAAUAUAAGUAUUCAAAUUGAAAAAAAAAAACAUUGAUACAAGAUUUUAAAUAAAAAAAUUAUAAAAUACAUAUAAUUUGUACUUCUCAUUGUCUCUUUUGCAUUGCUAACACUUAACAAAUUGAAUAUAUAAUUCUCAUGUCAAUAACGUCAGAAUAAAUUUAGCUACAUGACAUAAUAAUACCUGUUUAUUUUUGUAUUUUAAAAAUAUUUUAAAAACAUUAAAUUGUUUUAAAUAGAUAACUUUUGAAUCAUCAAGUAGUGAAACACAGGAAAAGCGAAGAAAGUGAAGAAUAAUCAAAGUGGUGCGUGUCCACAUCAAUUUUUGUCCAUGUUUUUGGUAUUAAUCUCUUCAUCUAUUUACAGCUGGAGAAAAGAACAUCACCUACUACUUUUCUUGUCUCUUCUUACUUGGAAGAUCAGGUAUGUGAAUCUUUGAGUGCCACUUAUUUUAGUACAUAGACUUAGUUAUUUGACCACAACUUCACCACAAGUUAAAUUGUUUUAAUUAAAAAAAUUUAUAUAAAGAUUUCUUCAAUAAAUUUUUUAUUUAAAAAAUUUCUAAGUGAAAAUUAAAAAACUUAUACACAAAUAUAGUUAAAUAAAUCAAGAAUUAUGUGUGUUAAUAAGUGAAAAAAACCAUAAAUGAUGACUCAAAAUAAAAACUGAAAAAAUCAACUGAUAAAUGUAGAUCAAAAUAUUUAAUUUCACAAGACGUGAUAUUAAUGCAGUUGUGUUUUCUAAAAUUUUUAAUUAAAAUAAUUUUUUAAUUUGAUCAAACGAUAAUAAAAAUAGACACACAUAUUAUAAAUUGAUUGAAUAAAAUAAAAAAUAAUAAUAAUAUGCUAGGCUUUAUAUAUUGGAAAUAUUAUUUAAAAAUAAUUUUUUUUAUUUUAAAAAAUAAAAUUUAUCUAUUAAAAAAAUUUAUAUAUUAAAUUCAAAAUAAAUAAACUUUAAAAUAAUUUGCAAGGCUGCACAUAACCCCUUUAAAAGGAAAGUGAUAUAACAAACGUGGAACAAUUUUUAUUAACUAAAUAAACUUAAUAACUAUUAAUAUUAAAUUCGAAAUAUAUAUUAAAACCUAUUAUAUUAAUUUUUGAAUUUAUCAAUUCAGAUGUGAAUUAUAUUUCUAAAAUGUUAUAAGAAAUUUCUAUAUACGACAACUAGCUUAAGAAAGUGAUGUUCAUCAAAACCAUAGAGUACAGAAAAAGAAUUGAAUUGCAUAAAAUUAAGUAAUUAACGGAAACUUAUAUUCCUUCUUAAAACGUUGACCCCAAGUCAAGUUUAUUUAUUAUUAUUUUUUUUGAAAAAAACAUGAAUAAAAGUUAAUGCUAGGCACAUGGGAUAUAGAAGACUUGCAACUUUCUUUAUAGAAAUUACGUGUGUAAAAUUUAGGCCUUGAAAAAAAAUUAAAAAUAAAAUACUAUUAAUCGUGUUGAUAAAAAUUAAUAUAGAGACUUUAUUGAUAAAAAUUCAUAAGAGCAAGUAUUCAAAUUACAAAAAAUAAAAAUAUUUCUUCAAAUUUUCAAUAAAAUUUAUUUCUUGAAAUUAAUGCAUUAAACAAAAUUAAAAUAGUAGUAAAAGUAAAUUUAGUUUUUGAUUGAAGUGUAAACUAGUGGUAAAUGAACAAAAAGAAACUUUAUUGAUUUCUCCAAAAACAAUAUAUAUAUUAUUGAAUAUCUAAUGGAAAGGAUUAUGAAACUCCGCCUAAUAUAUAUAUAUAUAUAACAGAGAAAUUGUCGAUAAUAGCUAUGAUCUAAGUAACUGGACCACGACGAAGACAUAUACAAGAAACAAAAAAAAGAUACUUCACUAACAAUUGGGGUUCUUCAUAAGCUUCAAUAGAAUUGAUAGAGGGUCGAAACAAAAAAGAGAUGAAGAGAGAGGAGGGAAUGGAAAGAAGGGAAAAGAGAACUCUUGCGAUCUGUUGAAUAAGACUCAGUAUAUAUAUAUAUAUAUAAAAUAAAAAAAACUCAAGUUAGCGCAUCAAAUCUUCGACUUGGAUUAUGAGAUCGGGAUAAGAAAACUUAAUAUUUAAAAAUAAAAUUAAAGAAAAAAACUAUAAAAACAUAUAUGGUUUAACAAUAUUAAUCAAUUAUUAAAAUCUUUCAUUUUAUAUAUAUUAAAAAUAAAUAUUAAUAACUAUUAUAUCAAUUUGUGAAUGUUUCAAUUAGGAUGCGAAUAAAUGUUUUAUAUAUGACAUUUUUCUUAAGAAACCAAAGUUAUUAAGCAUGUUUAGAUUUAAUUACCAAAUGAGAGUGAGGGUUGAGGUUAUAGAUUGACCUAAUUAAUACUCAGAUCAAGAUUUAGGUCCUAGAUCGGACAAAUUAGCUUAUUGACUAGUGUUAAUAAAAAAUUGUAUCAUUUUAUGAUUUUUGUUAUAGAAAAAAUCAAAAUGGUGUUGUUAAAAAAAGUAAAACUAGGUUUUAACUGAGUUGACUAGGUUGUGGGUUGAUUUAUCUGGUCAACUAGGCUCAAUUGAGUCAACUCUCACUUGGUUUUUUCUAAACCUAAAUAGGGUUAGGUUCCAGAUUAAAAUGUAAGGCUUGAAUUAAAUUUAAUAACAUUGAUUAAAACCACAAUGUAGGAAAAAAAAUUGAAUUCAUAAAAGUAAUUAACCGAAAACUUGAAUUCCUUCUUAUAAAGUUGAACCCAUGUCGGUUUUUUUAAAGGAAAAGUAUGAAUCAAAGGUUAACGCUAGGCUGCUCACUUUGCAUCACAAUGACAGAUAUGGAAGGCUUGCUACUUUCUUUAUGGAAAUAACGUGUGGAAAAUCAUGCAUUAAUUUUGAUGUUGAUGGCAAAAUCAAACAAUAUCGUUGAUAAAAUGAAUGACAAAUGAUAUUAUUUUUAAAAUACUUCUUGUCAUUGUCAUGACAACAAGUCUUCUUUUUUUUCUUUCUAAAGUACUUGUCAGUCUAUUUUUAUGUAACCCAAUCAACAAGUAAGAUGGAUAGAAAUUUGCAGUGUAAAAUGGGUCUGUGAGACUAUGUAUCGCCAUCUGCAUUUUUCCACGAUCUAGGCCAGUGGGAUGGUACAUGAGACCAUUGCUAUCAAGCGUUUUUUCUACGAGAUGGGUCCAUGAGACCAUUGCCCUGUAAGCUUGGGAAUGGAUAAUUAAUAUGCUUUAAUGUCUAUUUAGUUUGCAAAAAAAAUAAUUAAAUGCUUAUGAAUAAAAAAUAAAUCUCAAGUGUUAAAAUGCAACCACCGAUUAAUUAAUGGACAAUGGACCUUAGAUUAAUACAUGACGCAACUUUCAAUGGAAUUAUAUUUGUGGAGGUAUUUACUCGGAUGCGAAUUAUAUUUCUAUUUUUUUAUUUAAAAAAAUUCUAUACUACAACGAGCUUAAGAAAGUCAUGUUCAGGGGCGGAGCUAUAAUUAUUUGUUAGGAAGAUCAAAAUUAAUAUAAUAAGAUAUAAAAUUUAUUUUAAUUUAUUAUACAUGAGUUCUAAAACAAAACCUGUAUAAUUUAGUUUUAUUCAAAUAACUUACUACAAACAUAUAAUAACCUUUGUGAAGUAUAUUGGGACUGCUCAACCAUAACUUUAACAUUACACAUUGGAGUUGGUUCACUAGGCUGUGAGUUAUCAAUAUUUUUUAUUUUUCUUUUUCAAAAAAAAAUCAAUUCUUCUUAUUUUGUUCAUGGUUCAACCUAAAAUCAAAACAUAUAUCGUAAGAAAAAAUUGAUAAUUUAGUGACUCUGCUAAAAAUAAAACAUAAAACAAAUCCAAGCAUAAUCAAAACAAAACCAAUAAAAUAUAUCUAAUUAAUUAGAAAAAAAAUCAUUAUAAUAAGAAUUCAAAAAAAAAUGGUAAAACUAGCAGAUCUGAGAAAAAAAAAGAGCAAAAAUGAUAGAAAUAUAAAAAAAAUCUCAUCAAAUUAUUAACAAACAUCUCAAAACAAAACAAAUAUAGAUUUUAAAUUUAAGUUACUUUGUUUUGUUUGAUGAAAGAUAAAUUAAUUGGUGGCUCUGCUUCAAUCUUUUUGUAGAAACAUUUUGCUCACAAUUUGUAUUUUUAUUUCUUUGUUUGAUCGGCUGCAGGAUUUAUAUUAGGGUAAAUUAAUGGUUUUGUUUUUUAUUUCACAAAGUAAUGCCUUAAUAUUGUUUUCUUCCAUCUAGGUCAAGAGUAAAUUAAAAGGAAAUCAAAAGUAAAGUCAAUAAUAACCCAAAGUAAUGCCUUAAUUAUUUGAUGUCACAAAGUAAUGCUUUAAUAACCCAAUAAUAAAAAAACAAAAUGUCUUGAGGGGGGCUCGGGCCCCUGCUUGCCCCCUACUUCCACCCUUGGUCAUGUUCAUCGAAAAAAAAAAUUAUAUUUACUCGGAUGUGUUUUUUCUACGAGAUGGGUCCAUGAGAACAUUUCCAUCUGCAUAUUGGUUCUUGAGACCGUUACCAUCAGGGGCGGAGACAGAGGGGCUGGCAGGGGCCCCGGCCCCGGCAAGGAAAAAGUUUUUCCAGCCCCUCCCUUAACAAUAUUUAUAUUUUUAGUUUAAAUAAUAAAACAAUUAAUAUUUUGAUCCCCUUUAAUUUUAUUUUCUGGUUCUGCCCCUGGUUGCCAUCAUGCAUUUUUCCUCGAGGAGAGGCCAUGAGACGUCCUCUUCCAACCAUCAUGCAUUUUUUCCACGAGAUGGGUUCGUGGAGAAACUUUGGUUUAAUUGGGAAUGCUGUUAUUGAUUGGAAACUUUUUAAUUAAAAUAAAUUUGAUUAUUUGAUUGGAAAAAAUCCUUAAAUGUUAUUAACACAAGAAAUGAAUUUAUUUUCUUAAGAAAAAAAUAUUGUAACCAUAUAAGUAAUUUAUUUAUUUAUUUUAAUGAAAUAUAAAAUAGUUUUAAAUCUUGUGGUAUAUUUCUUGUCUUUAAGAGCUAUGAACUUAUAUCGCAAACCUUGAAAACUAAUAUAAAGAUAUUAAGUGAUCAUUAAGUGUGUGUGUAUGUAUAUAAUCUUUUUCAAAACAAAAAGGAUUUUGAUGGAGAUCAGGACAUUGCAACAAAUUAUCCACCACGAGAUGGGUCACUGAUACCAUUGUCAUCAUGCAAUUUUUUCCCACGAGAUGGGGCCGUACGCUUGGGGCUCUAAAACGCUAUGGUUUUUAAUUUCAUUAUGUCACAUCUAGAAUGGCAGGUAUAUUUUAUUUCAAUUUAAACAAUGGAAUAAAUUAGAAGAUAUUUCAUCUCGUUUGGAAUCUUAUCUCAUUUCAUGAAUUUCACCUAAAUUCUGGCCGGAAUAUUUUGGUUCUAUUCCAGCCAUUCUAUUAUGAUCAAAUAAUGUUUUGUUUUGCUUUUAUAAAAAAAAAAAUAUAGUCUAGUUUUACGGUAUCAAUUAUAUCUCUCAAUUCAACUGUUGAAUUAUACUAAAAUUUUACAAGGAAUCUCCUAACAUAUAUUUAUAUCGCAAGUUAAAAUUUUAGAACAAUUAGAGUUUAGAAAGACUUUGUGAGAUUGCCGAUGACAUUUUCAUAAUUUUAUUUAAAUUCAUAAUUUGGUUUCGUAAGGUCAUUUUUUGUGUCUUCUUUUAGAUUGUUUUGUUUUUCCAAUUUCAUAAUUCAACAAUAAGUUUAUUAAAAAUUGAGAUUCAUAAUUUGUUUUUAUUUUGGAUUAUUAUGGUCUCAUAAUCUGGGUCACGGAUUUAAAAGAUUAACUUAGAUUAACCCGAGUCUAUCCAAUAUGUCGUUGUCUCAAUAUUUUUAACAAACAUAAUUUUAAUUGACAUUUAAAAAUAAACUAACUUAAAAUUAUACAAUUUAAAUUUCAAAUAUAAGUAAAAAUAAAGAGUUAAAUCGAUAUGACCCAUUUGAUUUGAUGAGUCCAAAGUAUAUAUAGAACAAUCCAAAAUGACACAUCAAAAUACUCAAAAACAAAAAUAUAUUGUUACAAUUAAAAAAAUAAAACACCAAUUAAAAUGGAAUUAACAUCCUUGCUUCAUAGAAGCCUAAACUCCUCGCUACCAUUUGCAAGAGAUAGUUAUACCAAUAGCAAUUUAGUAAUGUUGGUCAGAAUUUAAUAUCCUUCUCGAUAAGAAGAUCCUUAUCUUAUCGGAUAAAACCUAAUUGUUCUAACGUCAACAAAAGAAUUUAAUAUUCGGAAUACAUCUUACGUAUAAGGUCGUAACCCAAAUACUAAAAGAAAAAAAAUAAUAUUUUUGGAAUUUUUGAAAUAUUGGUCUAGUUCUCGUGACUUUAAUAAACUGGUUAUUAAAACCAAAAUGCAUGUUAAUACAUAUUUUUGAAUUUUUGUUGUAUGAAAAUAUGAUAUGAUUUUUUUUCUUUGAGAUACUUGGCCAUAUGCAUGAAAAUAAAAACAUGUUUUUUUUUUAAUUUUUCAAUGUUUCGACGAAAACUGGGUAUUUUAAUUCCAGAUUUGUAUCUUUACAGUAUAAAAAUACAAAUCAAUACUAAGAAAAAAUCAAUAGAAAAAUACGCGGUAAAAUCACAGAUUUUUUAAAAUGAUUUUUUUUUGACCGGGUAGGCGUUGUUCGGGUCAGAAAACUAAAACAAACAGUGGAGAGACUCUCUGCUGUUCACAUGCAACGUGAACAGUGGAGCGGCCUGGAGAAGACUAAGAAGAGGAGGAGGAAGAGGAAGAAGCAGACCUGCAGCCUAGCGGUGCUGCCAGUGGCGGUGGACGGUGUUGCGGUUGCGGACCGUGGUGCUGACUGGUUGGUGGUUCUUCUUUCUUUCUCUGCGUUUCCCUUCUGCUUUUUUUCUGUUCUACUCUAUUCUUCCUCUUGUUCCCUGUUUUAUUCUCUCUCCCUCUCUGGUCCUCUCAAACGUCCCCUGGAGCUGCUGCCUGAAGAUGAAGAUGAAGUUGAGGGUGAUCAGUGCUCUGAUCGAGCAACGUUUCUUUCUUUCCUUCUGCUACUGUUUUCGUUUCUGAUUCUCCUUUUUGUUCAAUUCUUAUUUGCACUCUUCUUCUUCUUCGUCGUCUCUGGUUUUUGAAAUGACGAAGACGAUGGCAACGCUGGUUCUGGUCUCAACGAUUUCCUCUCCUUACAUUCUUUCCUUCUGCUCAUUUCCGUCUCCCUCUCGUGCUACUCCCCACUUUCUCUCUUGUCCUGCUGGCUCUCCCUCCUUGUCUCCUCCUUUUUUUUUUUCCUGUCCGUCUCUCCUCUGGCUUUAUAUAGCGAGAGGAUGCAUGCUUUUCGGGAUUUAUUGCAGGAAGGUUGUAACAGCCGGAGUGUAUCAUGGUGGAGAAGGAUAUCAGCCGUGAGACAUGCUCCCCUGAUUGAAGCAGCUCCACCGCUAACAUCUUCACUACCUUUUACUGUAGAAACCGUUGUUGAUGAAGAAGGUAAUGAACAGUUGUCAAGGAAAUGGUACCGUUUUAAAAUUCAAAAUGAAUAUUUCCGAUUUGGUCAUUGGAUUUUUUGCAAUUUUGUAAUCAAGCCCCCGAAUAAAUUGUAAAUGGAUCUCUGGAUUUUAGCCCCAUUUACAAGACAAUUUUUUGUUCUGGAUUCAUGCAAUUUGACCCUCAAUUGAUCAAUAAACUUCUAAUUUCUUCAAUUUAACCCCUGAGUUGGUCAAUUGCAGCCUCUCUAUUUACGUGUCUUUUCCGAUUUGGUCCUUGGUUUCGUAUUUUUUCAAUCAAGUCCCUAAUUGCCCAUAAAACUUUAAUAAUUAUGCAAUUAAGCUCCUGAUUUGACCAAAUCAACUCUUCAAAAUUAUAAUUGUACCCUAGAACUUUAAUUUCUUCCAAUAAAAGCCUAAAUCGACAUAAAACUUAAUUUUUCUUUCAAUCAAACCCUCCAUAAAUUCAAUUAAACCCUCAAUAAAAUUUAAUUUAGUCCAUAAACAUCUGAUUUUGGAUAUAUUUUUUUUAAAAAUGAAUUUUCUUUGUCAACAGGGCUCUCAUUAGUCAACGAUAUACUAUCAAAUUUCAAUCUUUGUAUUUUUUAACCUCCUCAACCAAUUUUUAGCUAUUUUGGGCGGUCCAACAGCUUUCUCACUACGACAUAUAUUUUUAUUUAUUUAUUUAUUAUUAUUAUUUAUUUACUUUUUUUCGACUCUUACUUUUUGUAUUUUCUUCUUUUUUGUGUGAGGUCCUAAAAAUGGGUAACAAUACUUAAGUUCAAAUCUAUUAAUAAAAUAUAGUUUUAUUGAAUUUUUUUAUAUACUUUUAUUAGAGAAAUCAAUGUAAACAAAUUUACGGAAAAACAUUAGUUUAUCAAGUACUUAAAUAGAAAAAUAAAAUCAAUUAGAGUACUUGAAUAAAAAAAAUAUAAAUUAUAAGCAUUUUAUAUAUCUUUAUCGUUCAUACAUUAAGAUAUUUUAUUGAUUAAAUUUUGUGAAUAUAAGUAUUCAAAUUGAAAAAAAAAACAUUGAUGCAAGCUUUUAAAUAAAAAAAAUUAUAAAAUACAUAUAAUUUGCACUUCUCAUUGUCUCUUUCGCAUUGCUAACACUUAACAAAUUGAAUAUAUAAUUCUCGUGUGAAUAACGUCAGAAUAAAUUUAGUUAUAUGACAUUAUAAUACCUUUUUAUUUUUAUAUUUUAAAAAUAUUUUAAAAAAAUUAAAUUGUUUUAAAUAGAUAACUUUUGAAUCAUCAAGUAGUGAAACACAAGAAAAGCGAAGAAAGUGAAGAAUAAUCAAAGUGGUGCGGGUCCACAUCAAUUUUUGUCCAUGUUUUUGGUAUUAAUCUCUUCAUCUAUUUACAGCCGGAGAAAAGAACAUCACCUACUACUUUUCUUGUCUCUUCUUGCUUGGAAGAUAAGGCAUGUGAACCUUUGAGUGCCACUCAUUUUAGUACAUAGACUUGGUUAUUUGACCACAGCUUCACCACAAGUUAAAUUGUUUUAAUUAAAAAAAAUUAUAUAUAGAUUUCUUCAAUAAAUUUUUUAUUUAAAAUUUUUUUAAGUGAAAAUUGAAAAACUUAUACACAAAUAUUGUUAAAUAAAUCAAGAAUUUUGUGUAUUAAUAAGUGAAAAAAACCAUAAAUGAUGACUUAAAAUAAAAACUGGAAAAAUCAAUAAACAAAUGUAGAUCAAAAUAUUUAAUUUCACAAAACGUGAUAUUACAGUUGUGUUUUCUAAAUUUUCUAAUUAAAAUAAUUUUUUAAUUCGAUCAAACGAUAAUAAAAAUAGACACACAUAUUAUAAAUUGAUUGAAUAAAAUAAAAAAUAAUAAUAAUAUGUCAGGCUUCAUAUAUUGGAAAUAUUUUUUGAAAAUAUUUUUUUUAUUUUUAAAAAUAUAGUUUAUCUAUUAAAAAAAUUAUAUAUUAAAUUCAAAAUAAAUAAACUUUAAAAUAAUUUGCAAGGCUGCACAUAAGCCCUUUAAAAGGAAAGUGAUAUAACAAAAGUGGAACAAUUUUUAUUAACUAAAUAAACUCUAUAACUAUUAAUAUUAAAUUCAAAAUAUAUAUUAAAAAUAAAUAUUAAAACCUAUUAUAUUAAUUUGUGAAUUUAUCAAUUGAGAUGUGAAUUAUAUUUCUAAAAUGUUAUAAGAAAUUUCUAUAUACUACAACUAGCUUAAGAAAAUCAAGUUCAUCGAAACCGUAGAGUACAGAAAAAAAAUGAAUUGCAUGAUUAACCAAAACUUAUAUUUCUUCUUAAAACGUUGACCCCAAGUCAAGUUUUUUUUUUUUUUUGAAAAAAACAUGAAUACAAGGUUAAUGCUAGGCACAUGACGAUGAUGGAUAUACAAGACCUGCUCCUUUCUUUAUGGAAAUUACGUGUGGAAAAUUUAGGCCUUGAAAAAAAUUAAAAAAAAAAUACUAUUAAUCAUGUUAUUUGCAUUAUGGCAAAUAUAGAGACUUGAUUGAUAAAAAUUUAUAAGAGCAAGUAUUCAAAUUUUAAAAUAAAUAAAUAAAUCAAUUCAAGUUUUUAAUUAGAAAAAACAAGAUACAAAUACUCUGUGUAAGUGCCACUAACUCUUUGUAUUUUCUAACUAUUAAAGAAUUGAAUAUAUAAUACACGGGUGAUAAACAUCAAAAUAAAUCCAAUUGUAUAAUUUACUAAGAUUUUAAAAACUAACACUACAUAGAAAAAAAAAUCUUAAAAUAAAUAACAGAAAACUUGUAUUCCUUCGAGGGGUGUUUGAGAGUGUGGUAGCGGUUGCUUUUCAAAGUUUUUUCCCUUAAAAAUGCAUCAAAAUAAAUUUUUUUGAUUUUUUAAAAAUUAUUUUUAACAUCAUUAUAUCAAAAUGAUCUAAAAAUAUUAAAAAUAUAUUAAUUUAAAGCAAAAAAUAUAAAAAAAAUUAAAAAAUUUUAAUAAUACUUUUAAAAUACUAAAACAAACAAGAUAUUAAAAAAUAUACUACAAGUCAAAGUCUUUUUGAAAAAAAACAUUAAUAAAAGGUUAAUGGCAGGUAGCUUAUUUUCUGCCCUAAUAAAGCUCAAGGUCUGUUCAGAAAACUAAGUACGUAGGCAUACACCCAAUCCAAGCACCAUCAAAUCAUUUUUUAUACAUAGGGAUAGGAACGCUAGCUUCACAUGAUAGAUAAAAAAAAUUAAAAGAUAAUAAAAUUAAAAAAAUAAUUAUAAUCUUAUAUAUUAUUUUAAAUAAAAUAAAUAUUGAUUAAAAAAACCAAAUAUAAUAAAUUAAAAUAUUUAAUUUAAAAAAGAUAAGAGAAAAGUAAAUGAGAAUUAAAGUUGAUAUAAAAAUUAAAUUAUAAAAUAUAAAAUUCAAAAAAAAAAUAAAACCAAUUUUUUUUUUCUAAAAGAUAAUAUUCAGAUUAAAAGCAUUAUAAAAAGAAUAGCUCCUUGUUUCUUCCUUGUUUCAAUUUCAAGAUAUUAAGAUUAAAACCCAAUCGUAUAGCUGGUUGGGUUGAGAAGAAAGGUUUGCUUUUGUAUUACAAAUUAUUUAGAUUAGUUUUUUUUUAAAAUUAAUCAAAUUAGUAUCAUUUUGGUUCUCCAUCGAAGAAAAUAGAAAACAUAUUUAGUAAUAAGGUGUUGUUUAAUUCCUUAUAUUAUUAAUAUAAUCAUGGCAUCAUCACUGUAACAAUAAGUCCUCUUACUUGUAUUUUCACCGUCCCAACCUCUUUACAUGGCGUCACCGUAGCAAUUAUAUAUCUCUUGAUCAAUCAUAAUUAAAUUACUGUAAUAAUAUCUUUUUUUAUUCUUUUAUAUGAAGUCUUAAUUUAUUUUUUUAUAUAGGUAGUUAUGAAUUACAGAAAUUGAACAAUUUAGAGAUCUUUGACUUAGAAUCUAAUUGUUUCGAUAACAGUAUUAUAUUAUAGAGGGAUUUUUAUCCCUUAAAUUAUUAUAUUUAGAUUAAAAAAUAAAAACUAAUUAGGAGUCAAUUAAAUAAAUAAAUAAAAACCCUCAAAAGAUAAAAGAAGAAAACAUAAAAAGUACACUACCCAACCAAUAAUUGACCUGAAUCACAUGUUGUCCACUGCCAGAACUUAUUAGCAAUCUGCUUACAACAGCAAAUUGAUCAAUAAGAAAGACUUAAAUUCCAAAUUUAAAAACCAACUCAAUUGAGAUCCUUAUUAUUCAUUCAAUUAGUUGCUUCUUGCUAACUCUUUUAUUUCCUUUAUAAUUUUAAUUCAUUUUAAUAUAAUUUCUUGAUUGUGGCAAGCUUCCUUUAUCUCAAGAACUUGGAAUACUUGGAUUUCCCAAGAAAAAAUUAACUUAAGACUUUAGUUAAUGCUAUGAACACGAGUAAAUGAUAUGCUAAAGAAAAAACCAUGUAUUUAAGAACCAUUGCUAAGCUACAGGUUCAGGAGCCAUAAACCACUCACAUUUAGUGGGGUUGAUCUCAAAUUCAGACAAAUCUACUUGUCCAGUUCGGAGAACCUUCAAACAAAAAGAAGAAUGAAACCUUGUAAAAUUGGCUAUCAUCAAAAGGACAAGAAACAGUACAAGAAGGAUCAGCCUCGCAUUUCUUGCAUAAGUAAAAGAAUCCACUUGUUAAUGGAAAGGAGGACUCUGCAACAAGUCUAAAAUAUCCUCUGGAGUUCAGUGACCCUACAACCUUAUAUUUACCUCAGAAUGCACCCACGUAAAGCACACAGGAAAUCCCAACACAUAAGACAACAAAAGAAAACAUAUAAUUAGCAGAAAAAAAAAGGUUGUACAAUUCUUUCAUAGCUUACAGUACGUAUAGAAUAAGCAUUAUCAAAUCAGGCUAACAUACCUCAGGUAAGUGAGAUGUUAAUCCUUCUUCAAGCGGCAAUGUCUCAAUCAAUGACAUUAUCAAAUCAGGCUUCAGUAUAUCCCCUAAUCCCAAGCCUAGGACAACAAAAGAAAACAUCAUGAAAAAAAAUGAUUUUACAGUAAUGCACCCAGUGCCAGAGCAUAUAAUUAGCAGAAAUAAAGGUUGUACAAUUCUUUCACAGCUUACAAUACGUAUAGAAUAGGCAUUAAUAAUUACCUUCAUCUGGAUCGGCCAAACUACCUGCAACAUCUAUCAUCACAUCACGGCGCGGGCCACCCUAAGUACAGCAAACAAGGAUAUGGUCAAUUGCACUAUCUGAGCAUAACACAGAUAUUACUCAGGAUUCUUUGCAAGUCUUCCAAUUUCACUGGUUCUGAUGAAGAGUUUACAUCAUUCAUUACUUCUGCACCAAGGUCUGGGACAACUAAGUUUCCAGUCCUGAGAGCUAUGAGCAAAAAUCUCAUCAGAAUAAAAGAAAAUGGCAACGUAAUACUGGGCCAUUUCUUUUUUGUAAUAAAAGUGCUCCUUAACCUUUUUGAAGUUAUUUUACAAUGAAUUACAAGCAUUAAACUUGUAUAUACAUGGACAAACACCAAGUUAUGAUUCUAAAUUUCCAUAUAAAAGAUGCCCCAAGUUUUAAAAUUUACCCCGAGGGCAAGUCUGUGCAAGAGCAUAAGGGGAUGAAGGAUUUGACAUGGACUAAGGUGGGUGAGAUGUUUUUGUCAAGAAAUGAUUUUGGAAAAUUUCUUGAUAUUUCUUGAAUAAAUAAGAUAGGAGUCUUCAUCAAGGCAAGAACAUAGGCUCUCCAAGAUAAUUGACCAGAAGGAGAGAAGGGAGGCUCAUCCUGCUCCACAGACUCUUAGUCUCAAAGAACAAAAAAUUACUUGGCUCUAUAUCCUUACUCUUACUUGCUAUAUCAACUCUUAGAGUUGAAGUAUCUGAAAGGGUUUAUUUUUAGUAUUUGAAUAAGUCCAUGAGUCCCUAGUCUUCAGGAAGAUAUACAUGGUCAAGAUUAAAUUAAGGAUUUUAGUUGCUUAUUUUUCGUUAUUUCAUGUGCCACGUUACUGUGAACGUGAGCUAUUUUUCAGUCUUAUUAUUAUUCCUGUAAGGCUAUUUAUUAGCCAUUUCCAUUCAGUAAAAGCAAUUCAUUCAAUUCAAAUACUGUGCACUUUUGUUCUUAUUCUUUACAAUUGGUAUCAGAGCUAUUACAUCUGACCUGUUACGAAGAAAUAGAUACAAAAGGAAGACAUAUUUUUGAGUGACUUCAAACUUAGAGUGAGUGAGUGCUUGAGUGCUUUUAAACACAGAGUGAGUGAGUUUGAGUGUUUUUUAAACACAGAGUGAGAAAGAGAGUUCUUGAGGGUCAAUUUCAACAAUGGCAGCAGAGUCCAGCAAUUUUGUAUCACCUUGCAUCCCGAAAUUUGAUGGAGACUACGAGCAUUGGAACAUGCUAAUGGAGAAUCUCUUGCAUUCCAAAGAGUAUUGGAACGUUAUUGAGACAGGAUAUGUCGAGCCUGCAUCAGGGGAAAUUCUGAAUAAUGCACAGAAAAAGACAUUGGAGGAGACAAAGCUGAAAGAUUUAAAGGUUAAAAAUUACCUUUUUCAGUCCAUCGACAAAUCCAUUCUGAAGACUAUUACUCAAAAAGACACAGCAAAACAGUUGUGGGAUUCCAUGAAGAUCAAAUACCAAGGAAAUACAAGGGUUCGGCGUGCUCAACUUCAAAUCUUUCGCAGGAAUUUUGAAGUGCUGGAAAUGAAACAAGGAGAAACUGUCACAAGUUAUUUUGGAAGAGUUAUGCUGGUGGCAAAUGACAUGCGAAAUCUGGGAGAAAGCAUACCUGAUGAGAAGAUUGUAGAGAAGAUUUUACGCACACUUACUGAGAAGUACAAUUACAUAGUGUGCUCCAUUGAGGAGUCUAAAGAUAUUAAUCAUCUUUCAGUUGAUGAGCUGUAGAGUUCAUUACUUGUUCAUGAACAGAAAUUCAAAAGGCAUGACACAGAUGAUCAUGCCCUGAGAAUCUAUGAUGACAGAUUCUGUGGCAGAGGUCGUGGCAGAAACAAUUACAGAAGCCGAGGCCGUGGGGGCAGAACACAAACAUUCAAUAGAGACAUGGUGGAAUGUUUCAGGUGUCACAAACUUGGACACUUCCAAUACGAGUGUCCAACCAUGAACAAGGCAGCUAAUUAUGUGGAGCUAGAUGAUGAAGAUGAGAUGCUGCUAAUGUCCUAUGUUACAUUAGCUAAGACAACACGGAAUGAUGCAUGGUUCCUGGAUUCAGGAUGUUCUAAUCAUAUGUGUGGUUAUAGAGGUAUGUUCUCCUACUUGGAUGAAAAUUUUCAGCAUUCAGUCAAACUUGGAAACAAUAGCAGAAUGGCAGUAGUUAGCAAAGGCAGAGUAAAAUUACUAAUCAAUGGUAUUAAGCAUGUUGUUAAUGAUGUCUAUUAUGUACCAGAGCUUAAAAAUAAUUUACUGAGCAUAGGUCAACUACAAGAAAGGGGCUUAGCAAUUUUAAUUAAGAAUGGAGUUUGUAAGAUUUACCAUCCUGAGAAGGGUUUGAUCAUUCAAACCAAGAUGAGUGCAAAUUGGAUGUUCAUCCUACUUGCACAGACUCAAGCUCCCGUACAUGCACAGACUCAGAAUCAAGAGAAUUGUCUUCUCACCGGUUCUCAAAAUCCCUCAGUGCUAUGGCACAGACGGUUCGGUCACUUAAGCUACAAAGGCUUAAGAACCUUACAAUGGAGACAUAUGGUACAUGGACUGCCCACCUUCUCGACUCCCACCAUCACCUGCACAGAUUGCCUCAAUGGCAAGCAACACAGAGAGGUCAUGCCCAAACACAGCAAAUGGAGAGCAAAUCAGAAAUUGGAAUUAAUUCAUGCAGACAUUUGCGGUCCUAUUUCCCCCGAAUCCAAUAGUGGCAAAAGGUACAUAUUAUGUUUCAUUGAUGAUUUCAGCCGAAACUAUGGGCAUUUCUUUUAGCUACAAAAUCCGAAGCUUUCAUUUAUUUUAAGAAAUUCAAAGCUAUGGUGGAAAAAGAAACCCUAUUGCAUGUGAAGUGUCUAAGGACUGACAGGGGAGGAGAAUUUACCUCAAGUGAAUUCAACGAAUUCUGCAGCCAACAAGGUAUCAAACGGCAGCUCACCACGGCGUACACUCCACAGCAAAAUGGAGUUGCAGAGAGAAAAAAUCGAACCGUGAUGAACAUGGUCCGAUCAAUCCUCUCUGGUAAAGGGAUUCCAAAACCCUUCUGGCCAAAGGUAGUGAACUGGGCCUUCUAUGUGCUCAAUCGGUGCCCAACUUAUGCUUUGACAGACAUCACUCCUCAUGAGGCAUGGAGCGGAACUAAACCAUCAGUAGACCAUUUCAGGGUCUUUGGGUGCUUGGCCCAUGUUCACGUUCCAGAUGUGAAACGGAGUAAGCUUGAUAACAAAAGCUUUGUGUGUGUACUGUUGGGUAUGAGUGAGGAGUCAAAGGGGUACAAGUUGUUUGAUCCUUUAAACAAAAAAAUCGUGGUUAGCAAAGAUGUGAUCUUUGAGGAGGACAAACAGUGGGAUUGGGAUGUUGCUUAUGAAGAACAAAUCUUGACAGAUUUGGUUUGGGGUGACAGAGAAGGAACACGUGAAGAUGGUGAUAAUAGUGAUGACAAUCACGGGGAUGAGAGUGGUGAACGUGAGGCUGAAAUCAAUGGGGAAGAAGGGGAAGAAAACGAAGAACACAGACACAUUGUCUGUGAAGAUGAUGAAAAUGCUGAGAGAGAAGAAGAAGAAGCUGAGUUAAAUGAUCUUACGGUGUGUAUGCUGCCAGUUGGAAGAAUAGGUGAGCAGGUCAAUCCUACGGCAUGAACGCGGCCAAGUGAACAAAGGGAGAUGACAGAUGGCAAAAUAGAUGUUAAUCCAACGGUGAGAAUUCAGUCUGACAGGGAGAGUGAUUAGAUGACAUGUGGCGUACAUCCAACGGCACAAAACAUGGCAGACGGAGAGAAUGAGCUGCUGACAAGUGGAGACAAUCCAACGACUGACAUGCAAUCUGACGGGGAGAGUGGCCUGCUGACAAGUGGAAGAAGAGAAAGGGGUCCUCCGGUGUGGAUGCAAGAUUAUGUUACAGGGGAGGAUUUAUCUGAAUAUGAGUCCAAUAUGGCACUAAUUAUGUCUUCUGAUCCCAUUUAUUUUGAAGAUGCUGUGAAAGUUAACACUGGAGACUUGCUAUGGACAGUGAAAUUAAUGCAAUAGAGAAGAACAAUACCUGGACGCUCAACGAGUUGCCGGAGGGAGCAAAAAAAAUUGGAGUCAAAUGGGUCUACAAAACAAAGUACAACGAACAUGGGGAUGUUGAUAAAUACAAGGCAAGGCUAGUUGCCAAAGGGUACUCGCAACAACACGGAAUUGACUAUACAGAAGUCUUUGCACCAGUGGCAAGGAUGGAUACAGUAAGGAUGAUUAUUGCUCUCGCCGCUCAAAAAAACUGGAUUGUUUAUCAGUUGGAUGUCAAAUCGGCUUUUCUGCAUGGGGAAUUGCAUGAAGAUGUUUAUGUUGAUCAACCAAAAGGGUAUGAAAAGAAGGCUAGCGAACAUCUAGUUUACAAGCUGCAUAAAGCGUUGUACGGGUUAAAACAAGCUCCAAGAGCUUGGUUCAGUCGAAUCGAGGGUCAUUUUUUCAAUGAAGGCUUUCUACGGUGUGAAAGUGAGCAAACUUUAUUCACAAAGAGAAGCAGGGAAGGAAAGAUUAUCAUUGUAAGUGUUUACGUUGAUGAUCUAAUAUUUACUGGCGAUGAUACACAUAUGUUGUCUGAAUUCAAAAACUCCAUGAUGAGGGAGUUUGACAUGUCAGAUUUGGGGAAGAUGCGGUAUUUCUUGGGAAUCAAAGUAUUACAGCAUUCAGGUGGCACCUACAUAUGUCAGAAGAAAUAUGCACUAGAGGUGUUGAAGAGGUUUGGUAUGAUGGAAUGCAAUGCGGUGAAAAAUCCAAUAGUUCCCGGAUGCAGAGUCAACAAAGAUGAAGGCGAAGCUAAAGUAGAUGAAACAUAUUAUAAGCAGUUAGUGGGCAGCCUAAUGUAUCUCAUAGCAACAAGACCAGACAUGAUGUUUGUUACUUGUCUCAUCAGCAGAUACAUGGCCAAACCUACGGAACUUCAUCUACAAGUAGCAAAAAGGGCACUUAGAUAUCUAAGAGGGACAAUAAAUUUUGGAAUUUAUUACAAGAAAGGGGGAAGUGAUGAACUACUCUCAUUUACGGAUAGUGAUUAUGCUGGAGAUAUGGAGGAUAGAAAGAGUACAAGUGGAUAUGUUUUUUUGUUAAGCUCAGGAGCAGUCUCAUGGAGUUCGAAGAAGCAACCAAUAGUGACUCUUUCUACAACUGAAGCAGAAUUUGUAGCAGCCGCAAUGUGUGUAUGUCAAGCUCUUUGGAUAAAAAGAGUCUUGAAGGAAUUGGGACACUCAAAUAAUGAGUGCACACAAGUGAAAUGUGAUAACAGCUCAACUAUUAAAUUGUCCAAAAAUCCAGUGAUGCAUGGACGCAGUAAGCAUAUCGAUGUAAGAUAUCACUUUCUGAGAAAUCUUACUAAAGAAGGUACAAUUGCAUUAGUUCAUUACGGAAGUCAGGAUCAGGUGGCAGAUUUAAUGACCAAGCCUUUAAAGCUUGAUGCAUUUCUGAAACUAAGAACACUGUUGGGAGUCCAAGAAAUUACUGAUGUAAACUAACUGCAUACUGCAGUAAGUUUAAGGGAAGGAAUGAAAGGGUUUAUUUUUAGUAUUUGAAUAAGUCCACGAGUCCCUAGUCUUCAGGAAGAUAUACAUGGUCAAGAUUAAAUUAAGGAUUUUAGUUGCUUAUUUUUCGUUAUUUCAUGUGCCACGUUACUGUGAACGUGAGCUAUUUUUCAGUCUUAUUAUUAUUCCUGUAAGGCUAUUUAUUAGCCAUUUCCAUUCAGUAAAAGCAAUUCAUUCAAUUCAAAUACUGUGCACUUUUGUUCUUAUUCUUUACAGUAUCAUCUUUGAGUAUGCUUAUUUGUUAUAAUAAAUAUACCUUGAUGAGAUAUUAUCUUUAAGCAUGUCUUCAAAAACUUGGAAAGGAGUAGAAGCAUCAGGCUCUUCUUCAUCAAGGAACUCUGCCAGGCAAUAAGAUAAAGUAGCGACGUUGCUGAUGGAAAAACUUCACUCUUGAAUGAGUGCUGAAGUUAUAAGCCAGGUCAUUAGUUUGAAGGAGUAAAACUGGUUAGUAAAAUUUUAGGAAAACCAAUUCACACAUACGGAGUGUGUAACUAAAAUAAAUAAACAGGAAGUAGAAAACAGGAAAUCCAAUUAGUCUAAUAUGAUAUUUCUGUGAAAUAGAGGUUUUCUUUAUGAAAUUGUGGAGAUGAGAGGAGAUAAAUGCAGAUGCAAGAUAAAAAAAAACAAUAAAAAAAAACACAAAAGUAGCAUGGCUAGCAAAGGACUCAAAACACAAAAGUAUUUACCAAAUGGACGAUUAAUAUAAUAGUUGAUAGAGCUACACAAUUGUGAAUCAUCUUUAGCUUUUGGCUCCUGCAAACAUGUUACACAAUUUUCCAAAAUCAUGCAACUAACAGCCGAGUCAAUGUUACACAUAAGAGAGUGAAAAACACAGAAAAUGAACCUGACCUGCAUCCAAAUGAAAAACUUUCAAUCAUCUGUAUUGAAUUUCAAGAUGUAAACUCUUCCCAAAGCUUGAUUAACCUGAAUAACCCAAAGAAUUAUGAAUCUAUGAUAUUACAAUCAAUUAUUAGAGUCAAAUAUCUCCCAUCUAAGAAAAAACUAAGAGAGAAAAGUGUACCUUCUCAAAAACAGCCUCUUCAGAAAAAAAAAUCUGAUCCUGUCAAUCAACACGUCAAGAAAAAGCUACCAAGUUCUUACCUCAAAAGAAUAUUAACAAAACAAACAACAGAAAAAGAAAUAAAAACCAAUGUUGGAAGAGAGAAACAAAAUCCCCAGGCUAAAAAACAUAAUAAUAACUAGGACACAUCUUCCACAGCAUUCAAAUUCCUAUCAAGCCACUGGAAAUGAAGCAAACCCUCGUCACCCUGGAACAAUUCAAAAAUUUCGACUUCAAACAGGAAACAAGAUGCUAGAAACACUCUAUCUAGUACUUAAGAUAAACCAAAACAACAGAAGUAACUAAAAAUCUUUACACAGGUACGAACUCUGUAUAACACAAAAAAACCAAAAGACACCAGUUUACCCUUCCAAUGCGAACAAGUCCUUUUCGAGAAUCAGGAACAAACUUUUUUCCAUCAAAAACCAUUUUACCAGCACGAAACUCCAACAUAAUUUCCUACCAACAAAACAACCACAACAUCAUAACAUAACCCCAUCAAGAAAAACAUACUUAUACAUCCAAAAAAGCAAUUACAGGCUCUAAUUAAUAAGAUACAAGAUUUUAAGCAAAACCCACAAUUUUAAAAGUGAUUUUAUUUACCUGCAUUGCUGAAAUAUCUACAGCUGAUGAAGAACCCAUUUUUCGCAUACUUCCUCUAAAGCUUCCUUUUUUCCAACACUGCAAAAAAAAAAAAAGAAGAACAAAUCAAAUACCCAAAUCAGAAACAAUAACAGAAAAAAAAUAAAAGAAAAUCCAAUGCUGGAAGUUGUAAUCAGGAGGAGAACCAUACAAUUUCUGAUGGAAUGACAUUUUAUCAAGAAUUGAACUAGGCAUUCAGUUAAUUAAAUAGGUUGUAAACUUGUAAUCAGGUGAGAGUAGUGUCAACAUGUUUAGUUUUCCUCUCGGAAGUGUCAUUCUGCACAAAUCAGUGUUUUAAAAAUAUUAAAAAAAAAAUUUAAUUUGUUUUUAAAUUUGUUUUUUAGUGGUUUUCAUUUAUUUUCGUGUAUUAAUAUUAAAAAUAAUUUUUAAAAAAUAAAAAAUAUAUUAUUUCAAUUUAUUUUAAAAUAAAAAAAAAACUUAAAAAAAAUACUGUUAACACAGUAUUAAACAAACUCGAAUCCUAUAACCAGAUGAACAACGUUAAGAUAUUUGUUUUUUGUUUUUUGUUUUUUUUGAUAAUGAGGAUGUCCUAAACAAUCUUGCCUAAUGAUUGUUAAGAAAUGAAAGAGGCAAUGCAUGGCUAAACCAAUGGAAGCUAAAAAGCUAAUGAUGCCCCUAGCUAGUAAGCAAUUGUUGCCGCAAUGACAUAUGCCUCAUUAGAGAUAGAUUUGAAUUUACAUAUUAUUAUUAUCAUAUAUUUUGUAUUCUCGUUUAAAAAAAUAAAUAUUUUCCUUAUAUGGAGUAGAGUGUUUUUAAUUUUAUCAUGUAAAAUUUAUAUAUAUUUUAAAAAUUAAUACAAUAUACAGUUAAACAUCUAUAAAUUAAUAUCAUUGAGACCAUGAAAUUUAUUAAUUAAUCAAGAUAUUAUUUAGUAAAUAAAUUUAUACACUUAUCCAUUAAUCACAAAAAAAUUUCUUUUUCAAAAACAUUGAACUCAAUACAUGCAUUGUGUAUUCUGAUUAUAUGAAUAUUAUCUAAUUAUCAAAUUAUGAAUUAUCAUAGUUCUAUAUAUUUAUUUAAAUAAAACAAGUUUAAGAAUUAAUGUAAUCGAUCUUAUUAAUUAAUAAAAGUCAUGUAUGUAUCUAUUUUUGCAAAUUGGAUGCAUACUUAAUUAAUAUUAAGUCAAGAACAAAACCAAAAAAAGGAAUAUACAAGUGAGCCAAACAACAAUAUUAAAAACGAAUAAGAGGUUGAAUUAAUAUUCAUUAACUAAUAAUAAAAUUAAGAAGAUGAUACCAAAGGACACAAAAUCACAAAAAUUCGUGAAACUACAUAAGGCGGUUUGUUCAAUACCAAGAAAUUAAAUAUUUAAAAAAAAACUAAAUGAAUUGUUUAAAAAGUUAAAAGAAAAUAAAUGCACUUUUGUCCACGUCAACAACAACUAUAACAAAAUGCUGGGCUGUAGAAGAUUUUCCACAGCAACCUGAAAAAAUCAUAUAUGCUCAAGUAACUAUUUGGUAGAGCGUAUUUGGAGUGCUAAUAUCUUUUCUUUAUGGAAUCAGUCCUCGUACUCGAUCUCUGAAACCAGUUAAGGUUCUUAGUGACCAAAAUACUAGGUAGCGACUCUCAUUCCAUUUUUCCACUAAUAAAAGACAAGAAUUCCUUGUCUCCCCAUAGAUGCCUGAUAGAUAAUACAUUUUGAGAGUGGAUAUUUUCACCGCAACAUCGUAUACGUGCGACAUUAUGUAUACAGGUAUUUCACGAGAUGAUGCGGAGUGUUAAAUAUAAGCUUUGUGUUUAAAUCUGUUUUUUUAUGUAAUAUCUUUUGUUUUAUAUGUAAUUUGUAUUAUAUGUAGAUUUUAAUAUAUGAAUCCUAAAGAUAUUUGCUUUUGGUAUUUAUACAUUUAGAAUGUAUGAGUAAGGAACUAAUAUUAGUAAACUAUUUGAAAAGAAUACUUAAUAAUUAUAAUUAUGCAUGUUUAAAAGAUGGAUGCAUGUUAACGUAAUAAUUAGUUCAAUAUGAAUCCUUUGAGUUUAUAUUUGUAUGCAGUUAAUGUUUUAUUUUAAGAGAAUAUAAUUGCUAUGUUUUAUUUUUUUAUGAUGUAAGGUUGAGAAAGCACAACAAAGUAUUGCUAUGUGAAAUAUUGUAUGAUGAGAUGGGAUAUGAUCCAGGAUGGUUGAAUUGAAAUAGAAGAUUGAGUAUUGUGAUUGAAUGAAGUCUAGUCGAUAACUUGGUAACAUAAAAAAACAAAAGAAACUCUGCCGAAUUUUCUGUAGAAAAUUAGAUUUAUAUAAUAACUAUUACUUUGAUGAUAUAACUUUGAGAGUGAUACAUCAAAUGUGAGAUAUGUUAGACAAUAACCGCAAGACAAUAACGGUUCAAGACGUAGACAAUAACAAUUCAAAUUUCGGUAGUCCUCAUAUGAAUACCAUAUAUAUAUAUAUAUAACUUUACUCUGUUUUUCAGUUGCAUGAUAUUGUUAUUUUAUCCCGAUUGAGGGGGUGUUAUAAUUAUGGUCUUAUGAUCCGAGUCACUGAUUUAAAAGGUUAACCUAGAUUGACCCGGGUCGAUCCAAUAUGUUGUUAUCUCAAUAUUUUUUAAAAAAAUAUUAUCUUGAAUUUUUUGAAGUAAAACUAUAUGUUUAUCAGUCGUCCAGACUAUCUUUGGACUCAUUGAAUCGAUUGGGUCAUAUCGAUUCAACUCUUUUUUUUUAGUUAUAUUUGAAAUUUAAAUUGUAUAAUUUCAAAUUGGUUUGUUUUUAAAUGUCAAUUAAUAUAUAUAUAUAUAUAUAUAUAUAUAACAAUCCAAAAUGACAGGUUAAAAUACUAAAAAACCAAAACAUAUUGUUACAAUUAAAAAAAUAAAAUACCAAUUAAAACGGAAUUAAUUGACAACUUGCUUGGUAGAAGCAUGAAACUCCUCGCUGACAUUUGCAAGAGAUAGUUACUUAUACCAGUAGCAAUUUAGUAAUGAUUGAUCAGCAUUUAUAGUAAGAUGGGGCUAUUAAUUCAAAUGUUGAUGGCAUUAGUAACAAUGAUUUUCUUGGAAGGAUUGCUUCCUCUUGGUUGCUUGAAAAUAUACGGUUUUUUUUUAGUUCAAAUCUAUUAAUAUAAAUAUAGUUUUAUUGAAUAUUUUUUAUAUAAUCUUAUUAGAGAAAUCAAUGUAAACAAAUUUAUGGACAAACACUAGAUUAUCAAGUAUUUAAAUAGAAAAAUAAAACAUUGAUACAAGCUUUUAAAUAAAAAACAUUUAUAAUAAAUAUAAUUUGUACUUGUCAUUAUCUCUUUUUCAUUGCUAACACUUAACGAAUUGAAUAUAUAAUUCUCAUGUGAAUAACGUCAAAAUAAAUUUAGUUGCAUGACAUAAUAAUACCUAUUUGUUUUUUGUAUUUUAAAAAUAUUUAAAAAAAUUAAAUUUUUUUAAAUAAAUAACUUUUGAAUCAUCAAGUAGUGAAACACAGGAAAAGUGAAGAAAGUGAAGAAUAAUCAAAGUGGUGUGGGUCCACAUCAACUUUUGUCCAUGUUUUUGGUAUUAAUCUCUUCAUCCAUUUACAGCCGGAGAAAAGAGCAUCACUCAGUGCUUUCCUUGUCUCUUCUUGCUUAGAAGAUAAGGUAUGAGAACCUUCGAGUGCCACUCAUUUUAGUACAUAGACUAGAUAUUUGACCAUAACUUAACUGUUAGUUAAUUGUUUUUUCAAUUAAAAAAAUUUAUAUAUAGAUUUCUUCAACGUAUUGUUUAUUUAAAAAAUCUUAAGUGAAAAUUAAGAAAUUUAUACACAAAUAUAGUCAAAUAAAUUGAGAAUUAUAUGUGUUAAUAAGUGAAAAAAAAACCAUAAACGAUGACUCAAAAUAAAAACUGGAAAAAUUGAGAGACAGGUGCUGAUCAAGAUAUUUAAUUUCACAAGACGUGACAUUUAUGCAGUUGUGUUUUUAAAAUUUUCUAAUUAAAAUAAUUUUUUAUUCAAUCAAACGAUAAUAAAAACAGACACACAUUAUAAAUUGAUUGAAUAAAAUAAAAGGAGAAAAAAUAAUAUGCAAGCCUACACAUAUUAAAAAUAUUAUUUGAAAAUACAUUUAUUUUUAUUUUCAAAAAUAAAAUUCAUCUAUACAAAAGAUUUUUAAAAAAUAUAGAUUAAUCACAAAAACCUCCUCAAAAAUUAAAUGCAUAAUUAAAAAAUAAUUAUCAUUUCAAAUAGGCUUUCUAAAUAAUAUAAAAGAGAGAAGGGAUAUAAAUAUAAAUAUAAAUAAGAUUAAGAUUAAGAUUAAUUUAAAAAAAUACAAACAAAAAAAAAGAAAAUAUUUUUUCUUAAACAAAAAAAAGUGAACAAUGUCGUUCACAGUAAAACUUGUGGGGUGAACUCGAACUCAACCGAGUUUAAUAUUUUUCCUCUUAAAUUUAUAACAAACCUAAAAAAAGUAAACAAUGUCGUCCAUUGUAAAACAUGAGGAGGUGAAUAGUGCAACUACACAGUGUUCACCUUAUAUAUUUUUCCUCUUAAAUUUAUACCAAAACCGUAAUAAAAAAAGGUGACCAAUGUUGUCCAUAGUAAAACGUGAGGGGGUGAACAACGCAUCUUCAUAGUGUUCACCCCGCACACCUUAGCUUAUUUAGGGUGAACCUGAAUCAUGAACUCAAUCGGGUUUAAUAUUUUCCCCUCUUAAAUUUAUAGCAAACCUAAAAAAAAGGUAAACAAUAUAGUCUAUAAUAAAAUAUGAGGGGAUGAACAAUACAGAUGCACAAUGUUCACCUCACAUAUUUUUUUCCUUAAAUUUAUAGCAAAACCUAAUAAAACAAAUAGUGAAUAGUAUAUUCAUUGUAAAACGUGAGAGGGUGAACAAUGUGGCUAUAUAAUAUUCACCCCACAUGCUUUAGAUUAAACGUGAGAUGGUUAUUUUUUAAAAUAAAAAAAAAUUAAUAAGCAGGCUAUUACAAUGCGCUUUUUAAUGAUGACGAUAUUUGUAGCAAAAAUUUCAAAGGAUUUAAUACAAAUCCAAGCCAAAAUAUUUCACUAGAUUACUAUUUUACGAUCUUCUUAAAACUUGGGUUCGAGCUUGUCAUGUUGAAUCAUCUCUUCUAGAAUCCUUUUUACCGUCUAAUGACUGCCGCUUAUGUUUGUGCAAUUUCUUGUUUACUAGUAAAAUUGUACAGACGUGGGCUUGAAGCUGUUAACUUUCCCUGGACUGGUUAUGUAAUAUAUUUAUAGGUCUAACUGUAUACUAUCACUUGGUCCAAGAGGCAAUAUUGCAAGAUUCCAACGAAAUCUACUGUAAUCUACUGUCCUGGGACAAGAGUUCCAAAAACAUCUACUCCAAAUUUUGUUCUUUUUGAAUCUUUAGUUAUUUUUAUUUUUUCUCAUCAUUUUUUAAAAUAAAAAAUAUAAAUAAAUUACUACAAAAUGAAUAAAACAAAACCAGAAUAAAAAAGUAACAUUAAACAGCAGCCAUUUCAUCAGCUUUAAUUUUAGUAUAACACAAUAAUAUGAACCAACCUUGAUUCUCGAAGGCACCCAACUAAUUCAUUAGCCUUCAAAUUGCCAUCACCUAAUUUCACGAUCCAUGACCGACAUAUAAACAAGGGUCCUCUCCAAGUUCCCAUACAUAUACGAAUCCAAAUAUACAUAGAAACUUAUCUUUUAAAUAAGUCAAUUAGAGUUCAACACAAUAUUAAUAACAAAAUUAAUUAAAUAAGUCAAUCAGAGUUCAACAUAACAUUAAUAACAAAAUUAACUUCAUAAUAUAAUUUGAUUGUCUUAAUACAAAAAUUAAUACAAAGUUCGUAGUUGUGGAGCACUAUCUAGACAUAAAAAAAAUCAUAACAAAAACAACAAGGGAGGGGGUUUGAUAGUAUGUAAUACAACAACUAGAAAUAUAUAUAUAAUUAUGGCUUUAGGUUUUUAUAAAAACGUUUUUUAAAUAGAUCAUAUAAGAACAACGGAGGAGGGGGUUUAACGGUAUGUAUUUGCCUGCUAGUAAAAAUUGGUUAGCACCUAAACAAGGUCCUGUGCUAAAUCUAAAUUGGUAAGAUGUGAUAUGCUAAUAUCUAGAAAGAUAACUUAAUCUAUCCAUUGAAGUAAAGCAUUUAAAUGCGUAUACAAUGUUUUUGGAACAUUAAAUAUCUAUUUGAUCAGAAUCUGAUGGGGCAAUAGGUGAUGCAGGCAUAAACUAGAAAGACAACAAACAAACACAAAGAAAAAAGAUUUGUUAAGCAAACAGGGUUGCAAACUUAAACACUAAAUUCGCAAUUUAUUAUUCUGAAAAAAGUCUAAUGAUGUUUGCCUCUCAAAGAGGUUUCUAAAACAUUUAAAUAUGCUAAAAAACCUAUCUCUAUUGGAAAAAAAAAAUUCAGAAUCCAAAAGAAUAAACAAAAACUACAUAAAAUCUGAAAUAAAACAAUAAAUAUGAAAAAAAUCAAGGAAAAAUAGCUAAAUUGGCUCAAAACAGGAUCUUAUGAACCUAAUUUCAGGGGAUCCGAACAUCAAAUGAUCAACAAAGUAUGUUUCCAAUUGAGAUGGGCCUUAGAAAUCUCCUAUAAAAAUUGAGAUCUAAGCAAAUUAAGUGAUAUUUGUUUGAGACUUCGCUAACUACAUAUAAAGGAAUUAAAAAUAAAUUAUGAUGAUCAAUUCAAAAUCAACAAAAUAUUAAAGUGAAAUUGGAAGCAAAAACAGGGCAAAAAUCAUUAAAUCAAAAGAAGAAAAAAUUAGAAGAUAGAAUUUAUUUAUUUUUUUUAAAAAAGGGGGGAGGAUAUGAAUAGUGAAGUAGGAGGGAAAAACCUAAUUUUUUUAGUAUAAUAAAUAAUUUUUAAUUAAAUUAAAAUCUUCAUCUCAUACAAUUAGACCCAAAAAGAGUUAAAUAAAAAAGGGAAGAAAAUUUCUAAAGAUAUAAGGACCAAUUUAAAAAAAUAAAAGGAAAAAAAAAUGAAAAAACACCAAAUCAAGAAACGAAAAAAUAUAAGGACCAAUUUAAAAAAACAAUAAAAAAUAUAAAGAGUGAAGGAGGUAGAGAAACAUAAGUUUUUUAGUAUAGUAGUUUAUUUCUAGUUAAAUUAAAAACUUUAUCUCAUAUAAUUAGGCCAAAAACAAUUUUUUAAAAAAAAUAAGGACUAAUUUGUAAAAAAAGAAGAGAAAAAAACAGAAUCAAAUCAAAAGGGAAAAAAAACUAAUUUAAAAAUAAAAAUAAAAUGCUUCAUUAUUCAUGUAAAAACAAAACAUCAUUAUAGUAUCCAACUAGACAAGUGACCUACACUACGGGCUAUCCUAAUUUUUUUAAAGCAAAAUUUUUUUUUAGCAUUAUUAGAUGUGAGAAAAUAUUUUUUAAAAAACAUACAUGUGUACAAGAUAGGAGAGAUUUGGUUUGAGAAUGCAUGCUAAAAAUCUAAACAUGAACUAAAACAAAGUGGAAUUAAAAAAAAAAAAAAAACUUAAAAGAGAUCAGUGAUUCAUUAUAGACUGUGAGGUAAAACACUGUAGAUUAGCAUAAUAUAUUUAUUUUUUGACCUUCUCUACGUAAAAUAAUUGCCUUGCUAACAGGGUAAAGUUGUUAUUUUCAAUGGAUCUAAAGGUUAUUUGUAAAUUGAUUGGGAAUAAUUUAGUAGGUUAGCUAUUUUAUUUGCGUAGUAAAAUGACGUCAAUACCCUUGAGAGUUCAAAAAUAUUGACCUUGACAAAGGCAUUUUUUAGUCUUUUCCAUGUUUUGUAUACUGUAAAAUGACAAAGUUAACCUUAGAAUAAAAAAAUCUAAAGCUGGUCUGGGAUAGCAUUUUCAUCUUUGCAAUAUAGCUUUUUUGUAAUAUUUAGAUGCUCUUAUGAGCUAUUUAGCAAUUUAAAGUAUUGAAAUAUUAAUAAAUCAAUAAACAAAGGCUGACAUGUGUGUAGCACGUGUCAACACGUGAUAGUCCACCACGUCAUUUGGGAGGCGUGUGAUAGUCCAACAUGUAAUAUGGAGGUGUAGUUGAUGACGUGGCGUGUCGUCAUAUUUGUAGUGGUUUAAUGGUGAUAAAAAAAUUUUCCCGUCCCCCUCUUUUCUCUCUCUAAGGCUUUAGUAUUCACGCCGAUGCUUUAAAAUUUCACUUGUAUCCUUUGGAUUGUAUUUAUAUUAAGUUUGAUUCUUAUUAUUUUAAUUUCUAUUUAUUUUGAUUUUAGUGUUUUUUAAAGAAAAAAAUUUCAAUUUCAUUCCUCAACAUUUUAUUUCAUUUAAUUUUUAUAUUAAACUUGGUCCUCAUUCUUUUAAUUACUAUUUUCUAUCCUUUACUUAAUUUUUUUAAUUUUAUUUCUUAUUAUUUUAUUUUAUUUUAUUUUGUUUGCAAUUGCAGUUCUUUUUUUUUUUUAUCCCUAGUAAGCAAUUGUUGCCGCAAUGACAUAUGCCUAGCAAGAGGAAAAAAAAAAAAAAAAAGAGACGCUUGAAGGUUAGAGAAGGCACCUCUGAGUGGAAGGAGGCUGAGGUGCGCUAUUUUUGAAGUAUGUGAAAAUCAUAUGUUUCAAUGCUACUUCUUGCAAGAGUCUCCUUAACCAACCUAGAGUGUUAUAUUAGACUGCUAACGUAUUUUAUAAAAAUAUUGAUAAAAAUAUUUUUGGAUAAUUUUUUUUAUUUUAUUUGAAUUUAUUUCUUAAAUAAUUUAAAUUAAUAAGAUAAUUACAUAAAAGAUAAUGUUAGUCAAGUUAUCUUUUUACCAACCAUAAAAAGAUUUUUACUAAUCCAAGCCAACAAAAUAACAAUUACAUGUAUAAAUUGUCAUAUGUUGGAAAAAGGAGUUAGCUCAUAUUUUAGGGAUUAUAUUAAAGUGUUAGCAUCUUGCCUGGUUAGAAAUAGAAUUGAAUUUACAUAUUAGUAUUAUCAUAUAUUUUGUAUUGUCGUUUAAAAAAAUAAAUAUUUUCCUUAUAUGGAGUUAAGUGUUUUUAUUUUUAUCAUGUAAAAUUUAUAUAUUUUUUAAAAUUAAUUUUUCUAAUCAUCAAAUUAUUUUUAUUUUUUAAAAUUUAUAUAUUUUUUAAAAUUAUUUCUUAAAAAUAAAUUUAUUUUUCUAAAAAAUUGAACUUAAUACAUGCAUAUUAUCUAAUCAUCAAAUUAUGAACUAUCAUAAUUCUAUAUAUUUAUUUAAAUAAAACAAGUUCAAGAAUUAAUGUAGAUCAAUCUUAUUGAUUAAUAAAAUUCAUGUAUGUAUCUAUUUUUGCAAAUUGGAUGCAUACUUAAUUAAUAUUAAAUCAAGCAAAAAAUCUAUAAAAAGAAUAUACAAGUGAGCCAAACAACAAUAUUAAAAACGAACAAGAGGUCGAAUUAAUAUCCAUUAACUAAUAGUAAAAUUAAGAAGAUGAUACCAAAGGACACAAAAUCACAAAAAAGCAUUUAACAUUCAGAGAAAGAAGCCUGCAACACCCAUUAAGGAAAAGAGAGAAGGGAAAGAAAUGUAGAUUAAUUGAUACAGAGGAUCACCUUGUUCCAGACCAGCGCGAGACUGUAGAAGAAUCCAGACGAACCAAGAGCAAAAAAUGCAGGAGAGAUAAUCAUGAGAGAAACAAAUUCAUAUAUCCACGAAUACGUACAACAUUUGAAACCUAUAAUGCAAGAAUAGCUGCAGAUGUACAUUAAUAUUUUUAAUUUAAAGAAUCAAUUAAUUAUUUAAAAAACUUGAGGGAUUAAUUUGUUUGUUUCACAUAAAACAGACACUAAUUAUAUAAAGUUUUACUCAAAAAACAGACACUAAUAAUCAUAUGCGUGAGUGUUUACUUGUAAAUAUUUUGGAAGGAACUGGUUUAUGUUUUGCGCAUCAUGAAAAAAUCAUAUAUGCUUAAGUAACUAUUUGGCAUCAAUCUAGUAAAUUAAUCUUAAAUUCCUUUUAUCCAACUCUUGCCGUUUUAAAAUUAAUCAAUGUAAAAGUUAACCAAACAUGAUAAAAUCAAUAUAAUGGGUUUACGAAUACAUAUUAAAUUAAUCUUGGUUUUAUAGCUUAAUUUUCUAAACUCACUACUCAAAUAAUGAACUACAUCUAGUUUUAAUUUUUUUUAUUUAAUAUUAUAAUAACAAUACCAUUUCAAAAUUAACCAAAUAUAUAUAUAUAUAUAUAUAUAUAUAUAUAUAUAUAUAUAUAUAUAAUAGAGUUUAAAAACAAAUGAACAAUAUGAUAUUGUUCCAUUUUACUAUAAUGAUGAAGUUUUCACAAAAUAUAAAACUUAAAUUAAAUUAAGGCAACAAUCAAUUCUUUAGCUUUAAAACGAUUUAUUAUUUGCUUUCUAGUGGUAGUAGUAGGAUGAUUGGAAUAAUUUUUUUUCCAUUAACAAUAGAAUUGAGAAGGCCCGCCACAGACCAAGAGGACAGCUUCAAUGAAGCCAUCCCAGCCGAUGCAGGUGAUUACCCGUCGGCUGACAUCUCCUCGCGCGCAUAGCACCAGCCAAACCACCUCAAUCUGAAAAUGCACCAGACAAAGUCAAUGGAAAGACGCCAGGGAGCCUCAGCAGCCGAGAAGAAAGCGAGGGAACACCCACCGCGCGAGAAACACGAAAAACAUAGAGGGAGCGCGGUAAAGACUGUGAAGCCACAGAAUUCACACAUUGUGCACCGUGUUUUAAUGAGCACUCUUAGUUUAUUUUAUAUAUAAUUCUUUUAGUUUUAGUUUUAGUUUGUUGUGUUAUGAACAGUAAAGCAGCACAAGAAUACGUCUGCGUCAAGCUCUGUUCACUUUGGUCCGACAUUCCUCACCUCUCCCCACCUUAGCUCUCUCUCUUUCCCUCCUCUGCUUUUAGAAACCGCCGCUGCCACCUCAACCAAUAAGGCUUCAAAUCUCACCCAGGUGCUUCCUUUUCUAUUAUGUUUUUGUUUUUUAAAAAAGAUUUACGUCCGCGUUUUCAUUUAUUUAAUUGAAGUUACUAUCCAAAGAGAGAAAUUCGAUUUUAAUAAGUAAAUUAAAAAGAUAUAUAAUCGGAUCCAAUGAAAUCGCUGCUCGUGAACGCAACUCGAAGAAAGGCGCAAUCAGUCGAUUCUACUGUGGGUGGAGCAUUUAGUAUGGUCAGGGUUAUUGUGUUGUCUAUUCAAAGAAAGAUGUGCCUGUAAAUUUAUUAAGUUGAUUCUUAUCAGUCUGCUCUUUAGAGUUGAUGAUAACAUGAAAUAUUCAUUGUUGAUGCUUGUCGUUUUCUUCUUCAUUUUCCUAGCUUAAAACAUCCUAGACAAUCUCUUUGGGAUGGUUUAGUGUUUCUGGCCUCUUCAUCUUCUAUUUGUGCUGUGGUAUUUAGUUUGCUGAUAUUCAUUGGGGAUUGAAAGGCCUCGUUUUAUGACUUUGUUUUCUUCUUAUUUCUUUAUUCUUUUGGGGAUGUGAUAUUUUCCUCUUUCUAUUUACACUAUUGGCUCCCUACAAUAUUUUUUCCUUCAGAGAAGUAAAUAUAUACAUAAAUAACAAGAACAGGAGGGGAAGGGGAGGGGGGUUUGACAAUAAGUAUUUGCUUAGAAGGGAAUGCUUCUUUGGUUUAGAAGCACCAUGAAGAUUCAGGCCCAUAUUUGGCUGGUUUCUUUAAUAAAGUACAUGAUAUUCCAUUUUUCAUGUCCUUGAUGUGCUUUUACUCUUCUUGCCGUUCCUGACUUUCUUUUUAGGGUAUAUUCUAACAUGCAAUAUGUUUUUUUUUUGUUGGCCCACUGUCCCAGGCGGAGAACCUGUCAUGGACAUGGGUGAUUGCAGAAUUCAAUUGCAGCCUGACUCACGGAAAAGAAUAGUCAAAAAUUUUUUUUAUUUAUAUGAAAGAAAAGGAGAAGGGCAGAAGGUUAAUUAAAAUCAGCAGGAUUGCCAUGAGGCAACCUCAAGUAUCACGCACCUCUUUUUUUUUUCAUCUUUUCAUGUGUUUCUCACAAGAAGCAAACUUGAGGGAACAUAAAGUGCUGGGAAGUAAUUUUUGUUGGAAUUUCUUGUCUAAUCUCUUCUUUUGAUGAUGACCUCUUGGAUGGCUGCAUGAAGCUUGUUCCGCUUUAAAUUUCAAGGUUAAUCUAUUGCUAUGAGCAUACGUGUUUCAAUUUAAAACUCGAGUUGCAACUGAACUUAAAUAAAUGGUGUUGGAUUUGUGCUUUCUAUUUGUUUUAACUUCUACAGGGUUGAAAUGAUAGUGAUCUUAAACUAGAAAAGCAGCAGACAAAAAUCAAUUAGCCACAAUGGUGUAUGGUUUCUCAGCAUAAAGUUGAAAUGAUAGUGAUCUUAAACUAGAAAAGCAGCAGACAAAAAUCAAUUAGCCACAAUGGUGUAUGGUUUCUCAGCAUAAAGUUGAAUGUUUUGUUGACCUCUUUACAUCCAAAAUCAUAUAGACAGCUACUGCUAGCACUUGCAGUGGUCAAUGAAUACUGUAGAGUAUAUAUUGCAGUGUGAGAUAAGGUUAACUCAUUGCAUUUUCAGAUAUUGAAAGGAUUUCUCUUCUUUUCUUUGUCAAUUACAGGACAUGCAUCGAAGUGUUCUUACUGAGAGUAAAUGCUAUUGUAAUGUUUUCACAGAGACUCCCCUGCUUUGCAACUAAGUCACUAAUAUAUCUUGGAACAUAGCCAUAAAUGAAAGGUUCUUCCAGAUCAAGAAAAUUAACCAUGAAGCUCGUAGCUAGAAUUUUUAGACAGAAAGGUGGCCAAGUACGCUGUACCUCUGGAAUAAUACAGGGAAAGGAUGUCUAUGUAUUUUGAUGUCUUAUAUUACUUGACCAACUCUUGCUUAUCUCAUUAUUUGUUUUUACUUUUUGCUAAUGAUUCCACACAUUUCUGAUAUUGGUGUGGUUUAUGAGUUUAGGGUUCUCGUUGCUGCUAACUUCUCUAUACUUUGCCUGGUCAUUAAAAAUCAAACGUAAUGAUUUGCAUAUGCAGAAUGGAGACAUUAAAAAGACAUCUUCUAUUUUCUGGUGAGGAGGGAUUUCAGGAACUCAAGAAAUUUUCCAUACGUUUUGAGGAAAAGAUUUAUACUACCGCUAACAAUCAGGUAUUUGCCUAAUGCGAGGUUCAAUAAUUAUGAUAUUAUCUAGACAUGAAUAUACACACGCAUUUAUGCUUGUACAAAUGUGUGUGUAGUGUGCCUACACUUCCUCACCGUUCAUUCUGUAUGCAAGGUUGAUUGGGAGUUCACAUCAUUUUGUUAAUUCUCUUGACAAGUGUUUUAUUUAGAGUGACCAAGUUCAAGUACAAGGGAAGAAUGCAAAAAGCAAAUAACGAAUCAAUACAUAAAUAAUUAAAUAAAAAGAGAGGUAACAGAAGUAUAUCCUCAUAGAAGAUGAAAUGAUAGAGUAUAUAUCUAUUUUCCUCCUCUGGUAACAUGGAUUGCUCUGAGAUCUACUGUUUUGUUAUUAAUAUCUGAUUUCAAUCUGAUUAUUUGCAUAAAAUAUCUCUGGAGAUGCUUUCGAUGGAGACCAGGUCUCAAAAUGCCAUGCUCACUACACCUAUGGAUCCAGCAGGUAAUAAUGCAGCCGAGCAUUGAAUUUCUAAAUAUCUUACCUUUUGUUUUUCUUCUCGCAUUGCUAUCAAACUCUUUUACAUUUUAUUGCUGCAUAUUGCUAUGUAUAUCGCCUUGCUGGAAAAAUCUCAUGAUCACCUCCACGAUGAUAAUUUUGUAAUGCAUGUGAAGUGUUUCAUCCUUAACUUGUUAAGGAACAAGGACUGUGAUGCAUGGUAUUUUAUAUUUUAUGAUUGAGAUGGUAGAUUUUAAAGAUUUUCAUGUUAAGGAGAUAAGACGUCACUUUCUUGCUUUUCUUCCGAGAGAGUAUUUGAUCCUUUUUUCAUAUAAAAUAAUGCUGGCAUGCAUUGAAUUUCCAAACAUCUUACCUUUUGUUUUGUUUGUCGCAUUGUUAUCAAACUCUUUUACAUUUUGUUGCGGCAUAUUGCUAUGUGUAUGGCAUGCUUUAAUCAAAAAGUUGAGUAAUUGAUGAAUGUUAGGCAAGAAAAUUACAGAUUAUUUUUAUUUUCUACCUCCUCCUUCUCUUUCCCCCACCCCGAAAAUGGUCAUAUUAUUUUUUUUUUCAGCCACCUCUUCUUCCCCCAACCUUGAAAAUUGUUUAUAUUUGCUUUGGAAGCAUGGCAAACUUCACUGCCUCUCAGCUUAAGGAGAUUGCAGCAGGUCUCGAAGCUUCUGGGCAUCAGUUUAUUUGGGUAGUUAGAAGAAACAAAAAGAGUCAAGAAGACAAGGAAGAUUGUUUACCUCAAGGAUUUGAGGAAAGAAUGGAAGGCAAAAGGCUAUUAUCAGAGGAUGGGCACUCCAAGUUUUGAUUCUUGAUCAUGAAGCAAAAGGUGCAUUUGUGACUCAUUGAGGAUGGAACUCAACUCUUAAAGGCGUAAGGCAAAUAUUUGAUGAGCAAUUCUAUAAUGAAAAGUUGGUGACUGAUGUUUUAAAAACUGGAGUUAAGGAAUGGCUUAGAGUGCAUGGAGAUCAUGUUAAAAGUGAAGCUGUAGAGAACGCAAUCACUCAAAUUAUGAUGGGUGAAGAAGCAGAGGAAAUGAGGAGCAGAGCAAAGAAGCUUUCAGUGCUUUGAUUUAAUAACUGCAAAAAAUGAAAGGUUGUUGAAGAUGGUGGAUCUUCUUGCUCCGAUUUCAAUGCUUUGAUUGAAUAACUGAGGUGGGGUAGCCUUUGAAACAGAGGCAUAGAAUAUAUAUAUAUAUAUAUUUUAGCUUUUUUAGUUUAACGUGGGUGUUCGGGCCAGCUUGCGCGCACCUCGACUAAUCCCACGGGCCCUGAAGUUAACGACCAUGUAAGUCUCCAGUGGCCAUCAUAUGAGCAACCACAGGGCUCGAACCUGAGACCACAGAGGGAGCAAACCUUUUAGUCCCAAGCUCUUACCACUGGGCCACCACCUAGAUGGUUAAGGCAUAGAAUAUUUUGUUUCUACUUAGUAGUGGUUUUGGUAAUUUAUUUUCAGACAAGUCUUGAGAGUUGAAAGAGUAAUCACAGCCGAGUCAAUGACCAAUCCAAAUAAGUUCCCUUCCUAAUGGUUCAGGAAUGACAAGUCCAGCAUAUAUAUUUAGCCCAAAUAACUUUUCAAAUAAAAUGGCUGAGCUUAGAGACAGUACACUACAAAUUAAGCACCCAUUAGCUAGACAUACAGGACAAACAAUCAUCACAAACUAGAAACGACUGUCUUCCCAGUAACAAACUCACCUUCUCAAGUUGGAGAACUUGCGAAAACUAGCUACUACAAUAUAGUAGCAAGUAUCUAUGCAGUCUUCGAUGAAGUACGACCACCUGCGUCGCCAAUAUGGAUUGAUGUAAAGAACUGCUACAAUCAUAAUCACCACGACUGUGUAACUUACACCGAAAUUGAUGUAGAAAAACUCCAUGUCUAUGAAACCAUCAUCUCCUUGUUCAUCAUUAGGCACUGGUUGUGAUGGCAUUGGCUGUGAUGGCACUGGCUGUGAUGGCACUGCUUCUUCACUACAAUUGUUUUGCAAUGGAGGUCCACACAAGAAAGGAUUUCCUUCGUAACAGCUUUCAUCGAAGGUCCCAAACUGAUAUUUUCUCUCGGGUGUCUUACAUGACAAGUUAUUGUACGCCACACUAAAAACUUCCAGUGUGGUAAUUUCAGUAAGUUGUGGAGGGAUGACACCAUUCAAGUUGUUGUAAGAAAGAUCCAAACUCUCAAUCUGUUUUAGGUUUGAGAAUGUUGCUGGGAUAGAUCCAGUGAGAUUGUUGUGUGAUAAGUUUAAUGACAAUAUCUUACUUAAGUUUCCAAAUUCCGGUGGGAUUGCUCCUACGAAGUUGUUAUUGGAGAGAUCAAUACCAGACAUGUAGUUGAGAGUCUUCCCCUUGUAACCAUAAUACAUAUUUUUAGUUGUAAAUUCUAUCACUUCUUCUGUAAAGUUAAGCAGAAAACCCUUUCUCAAGUUGUACAUACUCUCCACUAGUGGUGGACCCAUUGUUUCAUAAUAAGCUUUUUCUAUGGACCUUGAUAGAACACCAGCUCCGAGAUCCGUGAAUGCUUUCUGGGAACUUUCCUUGAAAGUAAGAUUGCCCAAACAGGAGGGUAGUGGACUAGAGAGCUGGUUUUGUGAAACAUCCAAAAUGCUUAAAUGUUCUAACAAGCAUAAUUGAACAGGGAGCUCACCAUCAAAGUGAUUAGCCCUCAGAAGAAGAACACUCAAUGAUGAAAGAUUGCCAAUCCAAUUUGGAAUGGAGCCGGUGAAGCUGUUAUCUUGAAGAUCCAUCGUAACUAAGAAAGAGCUGUUAUAAAAUCUAUAUGUUAAUGGACCGCUCAAUCUAUUUUCGGAUAGAUGCAUAUGGAUUAGAGUUGAUGGACUGAAACAAGAUGGUAUAUAUCCAGACAAGUUGUUCUCUGAAAGGUUCAAAUAUUCAAGUUGAUCAAGCUUACAAAAGUCUCUUGGGAUCGGACCCUUAAAAUGGUUUUUGGACAAAUCAAUUGCUGCAAGAAUCGUAGAAUUAAGAAAGCUCCUUGGAAGCAUGCCUGAAAAUUGAUUGUUACUCAAAUCCAAUACAAUCCACAUUUUCCACCUAUAUAAUGAAAAAUCUGAUAUCUGACCCCAAAAGUUGUUACCACCUAGAUAGAGAUAUUCUAAGGUAGAAGAAUUGAACAACGAGGUCGGUAAUUGCCCACCCAAAUUGUUGUUUGACAGCUUGAGAAACCAUAUUGUUGUUAGUUGUUCUAGUUUUACUGUGGACAAUUGAUUGUUGGAUAAAUCUAAAAUUCCCAAAGAGCUAAUAUUUCCUAAACAAGAAGGAAUACAACCUGUGAAUCCAUUCUUAGCCAUCCUUAAGCUCUUCAGAUUUUGAAAGAUCAAACAAAUAUCCUUUGGAAUUUGACCGCUCAUGUUGUUGUUGGAUAUAUCUAAUUCGGUCAUAUUUAGAUAUGGGUGAUUUGGCAACUGCAAAGUACCAACAAAGGAGUUCUCACUCAAAUAUAGUUGCUCCAAUCGUGUAUUGUUCUUAAGCAACCACGAUGGAAACAUUCCGGUGAUGUUGUUGUGGGAGAGAUCAAGGACUCUUAAGUCGUAUUGGUAAUAGAGGAAGUUGGGAAUCUCUACAUUGACUGCUUCUAUUGUUUUUGACAAACUAAAAAAGACUAGUUGGAACUUUGGAAUCAAAUGAUCAAAGGCAGCAGGUUCUGUUACUAGUCUAUUGUUCUCAUUGCAGAAGAACUUGAGGCUUGAGUGGUUCAUAAAAGGCUUCAUUGAAAUGGGAACUUCAAAGAGGUUAUUUGAUAGUGAGAGGAAUUCAAGAGAUGUGAGGUUGGUAAGAGGACCAGAGGCAAUAUUUCCAGUAAACUGGUUUUUAGAAACAUCUAAUAGUUGUAGAGAUGACAAGUUUCCUAAACAAUCUGGGAGUGAACCUUCUAAAUUAUUUCCAAAGAGAUCUAACUGCUUCAGAUUCUUCAAUUCACACCAACCUGUAUAAUUUAUCUCGAAACAGUCAAAAUAGCUAAAUAAUUAAAAGAUUACCAUAGAAGAGGAUGGAGUGUUGUUAAUUUACCUUGAGCGGGUAGGGUGCCAUGGAGGUCACAUCCACCAACAGACAAAACCUUAAGAGCAGGCAAUGCUCCAAUGUUCUGGAGAAAGUUUACUGGGAGAGAAGUACGAUCUAGAUUCAAUUCUUCAAGAGUGCUAGAAUUGAAGAAAGUCCCUGUGAAAAAGAAAGAAGAAGAGAUAUGAAGAAAAUAAUGGUGGUACAGAAUAGCCAUUCCAUUCAAUAUUAUUAAUUAAUAUUUUAAGAAACUAAACUAUGAUUAACCUUGACUUAAAUUAGUAUCCUUGAGAGAAAGGGUCUUCAGGGAUGGCAAUGACUGCAGGAAGUCCAGCUUCCUUAAACCUAUGAUGUGUAGAAUUGAAAACAGGCAAUCAAGUAAGUAGUGAAAUUAAGCGUUAUCUUGAUCGAGUUUUUAAACCUAUGAUAAAAAACUGAUAUUGAAUAUACUUUUAUAAUGAUAUGAUUUUUGGAUAGAAACAACAAAUUGCCUGAAAAAUCCAGAGAUUUCAAAAGGUAUUGUUAAAAAAUGAAGUAAAUAAUAUUCACAACUUUACCAUUGACAGUCGUCGAUCCUAGCAACAUAUUGCCUGAUAAAUUUAAAGACUUGAGAUAAGAAAAUCCACGCAGAUGUGAUAAAAUGCUGUCGUUGAAUAUAUUAUAGCUCAAGUCCAGGUUCUCGAGUUUCCCUAAAUGUGAUGAUAUGAUCUCAAAACCUGCAAGAGUAAGUCAUCAUGAGCUCACGAUAUGCAUAAUAUAUAGAAACUAAAGAUAAUUAGAAUUGAUGAGAUGCUGUUGUUCAAUUGAUAUAUGAUUCUCAAAUUAUACAUAAAAAUAAUGAUACAUGAACGCAUAUGUCAUUAUAUAACAGGUUGUGCACACUUCAAAGAUUAAGAAACAAUUUUUAAUCAUUCUAAUUUUGAUCUUAUUGGAAAAAAAAAA